UUCUCAGAUCUGAGAGAGAGAGAGAGAGAGUUUUUUUUUUUUUUUUUUUUUUUUGUCUCGGCUCCGCAGAUUUUUCUUUUUGUUAUUAUUUAUGAAUGAGUGGGGAGCGACGAUUAUUACGGUUUGUGAGAAGGAAGGAGAGCCGUUGGAUUAAAAGCUCGCAAAAACACGGAUUCGUAACGAAAAAAGGCGCUGGCUUUUCAGAUACUUUUUAGGUCAAGUUUGAAUUUUCAAUCAUUACAAAGGGUAUUUCUGGAAAUUACUAACUUAAUGGGCUUUGAGCCUAGGUUUACGUUGGAUUGAAGCCCAAUGACUUGAUUAACGGUAAGUAGCUACAUUGACCUUUGAAAAUCCAUUUGGUUAAUUUUUAAAAUACCUUUCAUUAAAACAUUCUCUACGACGGUGAUUGUUGGAAACCUUCAAACAAAUAUUGACGAAAAUUUUCCAUUAACAAAGUAAAUUAUUUUUAAAAUUUUUUAUUUAUAAAUAGUUAUCUGUUUUGAAAAUGAAGGUUCGAAGUGAUCAAUAUGAUUGAUAUUUCUAGUGAGUUUCUUUGACAUUUUUUUUUAUUCGUGGGGUUCGAGAUCAGAAGUGAUCUAAUGAUCAUAAAAUUUCCGAUCCACGGCCGCCGUACGAUCAAGUAAAAAAGAAAGAUUUGGCUCGGCUCCAAAAGAAUUCUUCAUGACCCCACAUGUUUCAUUGUUAAGAAUUCUUUUGAAUUUUACUCUUUUUAAGCAUGAACUGAUUCAUUUUUACUUAGUCCAAGACAACUUAUGUUAUGUAUGAUCAUGUAAAUAAGGCUAGAUGAUCAGUGAAUUUCAUAUGUGGGGGUGUGUUUAGCUGAUUUUAUUUAAAUCCAAUUCAUCAAAGUAAGAUUGAGUUAUCUUUCUUUAACCAAAUCCAAUUCAUCAAAGCAAGAUUGAGUUCAAUUAGUCGAACUGAGUUUAGUAGAUCGUAGUUUUGUUAUGAUAUGUGAUAUGUGAUAUUAAUCCGGUGAUAUUUUAAAAUACCUUUCAUUAAAACAUUCUCUACGACGGAGAUUGUUAGAAACCUUCAAACAAAUAUUUUCGAACAAUUUCCAUUAACAUAGUAAAUUAUUUUUAGAAAAUUUAUUUUUUUGAAGAUGAUGAUUGCGAAGUGAUUAUUGUGAUUGAUGUUAGUGAGUUUCGUUGAAAUUUUUUUUUAUUCGUGGGGGUUCCCGAGAUCAGAAGUGAUCUAACGAUCUCAAAAUUUUUGAUCCUCGAUCAUCGUACGAUCAAGUACAAUAGCAAGAUCUGGCUCGGCCUCAUAAUGUCGGCACUUCCAUAAGGUUGUGGCGACACAAGAAGUGUUGGUCUUCAUGACCCCACAUCUUCAUUGUUAAGAAUUCUUUUGAAUUUUACUCUUUUUAAAGCAUAGAAUUGAUUUUUUUUACUUAGUCCAAGACAUAUUAUGUUAUAUUUAUGUUCAUGUAAAUAAGGAUAGAUGAUAAUUGAAUUUCAUAUGUGGGGGUGUGUUUAGCUUCCUUUAUUUAAAUCCAAUUCAUCAAAGUAAGAUUGAGUUAACUUACUUUAACCAAAUCCAAUUUAUCAAAGUAAGAUUGAGCUCAAGUAGUCGAAUUGAAUUUAGUAGAUCGUAGUUUUGUUAUGAUAUGUGAUAUCAAUCCAGUGACAUUUUAUCAUAUGAUUUACAGAGUUAGUAUGAAAAGUUUGGUUUUCGUAUAAAUGGCGUACAAAUUAUUUUUGUUAUCUAUGGAAGUUGUUUGUACCAUUUAUCGCCCCGAUCCAAAAUGCACAUACCUAUUCAUUCUUCUUUUUGAAAUUUGAUAGAGUUCAUGAAAUGUGUAUUGUCACUCGAAUAUGAUUAUUUGCUAUACUUUUUUAUAGUCGAUCAAUUUCUUUCAUGAUGUCUAUUCAUUUGAGUUCAAUGAUGUCCAUUUCUUUCAUAAUGUUUGUUCAUUUAACUUCGACGAUGUCCAUUUGAUCGAAUUCAUGUUCCUUUCUUUCAUGCCCACACCUGCUUUUUCGGUGAUUUCCCGUUACAUUUUUUUGCUUGUGUUAUUGGCAAGAUAUUAAUUUGAUCAUGUGUCAACAAUCACACUAGUUAAAUCAUCAAGUGGUGUGAAGAUGACAAUAUGGAUUUCACCAUAAUUCGGUCCAAUUACAGAAGUCCCACAUUCAUCUAUGUUUACUUCAUCUAUGUUUACCUCAUCUAUAUUUCCUAACAUCUAUGAAGAACAUAAGAGAACUUAAGUCAACAAACAGUGGAAUGGACUAUCUUAUCAUACAUCAUAGGGGAUAAGCAAACAUGAAUUUGGGACGGGACGAGAACAAGAAUUUUGGGAAUAGAAAAACAUGUUCCAUACGGAAUGGAUACAUAAAUUCCCAAAAAAGGUCUUAUAACAUGUUAUAAUUUAAAUAAAAUAACGCUUGCAAUCAUGUAUUUAACAUGUUCUUUUCAAUUUAUCUAGCAUCGUUAAAAUAUAAGAAACAUUAUGUUCUAUAAUUGUUAAAACUUAAGAAAUAAUAGAAAAAACAUAAUCUAAUCUAUAUGAACAAACAUAAAAUAAUAAGAAUAAAGAAGUUUAUUAAUUUUUUAAAUAUUUUUAUUAGAAUAUAUGAUAUAUAAAUAUACUAUGACCAUAUAUAAUUAUGAGAAAAUCCUCAAACUAUCACACUUUCAAAUUUUGUUGCCAAAAAUAAAAUUAUUAGUUUAAUAUUUCAAAAAUACCACCAAAAGUUUUGGUUUUCCAAAAAUACUACAAACACAAAAAUUAAUUUUCAAGAAUUGAGAAUUUAAAUUUUGGGUUUGGGUUGACUAUUUUAGAUUUAGGGCAUACUUUUAGGGGAUACGGUUUAGGGUUUAGUUUUGAAGGUUGAAAGUUAAAUUUUAGAUUUUAGGUAUUUUUGAAAAACCAAAACUUAAGUGUAGUAUUUUUGAGAAUUGCCCUAUAAUUAUUUUAAAAUAUAUUUUAUAUUUGUAUUUGUUUAAAACGUGACUUUGGGAAUUCCCGGUCUUAAUCGAGAUUACAAAAUUCUUCCCAUAUCUAGAUUUCCAUACGGAUGGGAAUUUGGGAACGGGUAAGGGACGGUUCAGAAGCGGAAUGUAAUUUUGCCCAUCCCGGAAUACAAUACUCAACAACAACCACCAAAACUCAAUUGGGAUCAUAUGGCACAAUACUUAAAAUGAAGACAAGAAGAUUCAACCCCGACAUAGAUUUCAUAUGCUUGAGUGCUUGAGAUAUAUCAAAGGAAAAAGGGUCAUCUACAUCAUCAAAAAAGUGUUGAGAAGCAAGGAGGAGAUCAACAACAAAAAGCCAGGAGCAAGGUUUUAACUUCAAACAGACACAACAGUAAGUUACAAGUGCACAACCAAUCAAUUGUAGUAUUUAAUGAUCGAUCCCAUAAAAAUUGAAAAUAUGCAAAAAAAUCUGCUAGAAAAGAAUCAAAAUAUGAGAGGAUGUGUGUUUGAUGAUGAAUGGAAUAAUGCAAGCUAUUAAACUAAAAUUUGGUUAGUAACAAAGAAAAUAAACUUAGAAAAGAAAAAAUAAAACUAGGCGUUGGGCAUUAGAGAGUCUUAGAGGUUCGUAAGGAAUCAAUUAAUAAAAAAUUAAUUAGAGAAACUCUAGAACUUAAAUAUCUAUUGACUAUUGUAUGACCAACCUACUUUCAUAGAACUUAAUCGUUUAUAGUUAACAACUUAAUUAGUCAACUCUCGUAGCCAAACAAACAGUUAAAACAUAUGAUAUAAAAAACAGAUUUGACAAAAUCCUCCUUAUAUGAUUGUAUAUAUUCUACCUUUAGGUCAAGAGUAAUACACAACUUUCAAUCGAUUUUCUCUUUUGUUUAUCACCAUUUACUACGAAAACAACCGGUAACUGUUAUCAGAGAUAACUUGGAUCUUGCAUUUGGGUGAGGCUACAUUUUCAUGCAUCUGAAGUUCGGUUGAUAUUAUACUUAGAUCAUCAUCAAAUGGCGUAUCAUCGUAUAAUAUCGCUUGUUCAAGAUUCAGCAUUAUCUCCAAGAAAUACUUGAUCACCUCCGUAUGCUUAUCCAUGUCAUCUUUGUAACUAGAGAUUUCUCCUAACUUCAACACCUUUAGUGCCUAUCUUCACUGGACUUGAUGAUAUGGAAUUAGGAGUGUCUUCCCAAGGUUUGCACACGCAUCUAUCACCAUCCUCCCCACAAUAUUUGUUGUUAUCUUUGAAACGGAGUCUCUCAUCUUCAAAUUAGUUGACAAGAUGACAUUCUAGAUGAUGAUAGCUCAUUUUGGUAAUAUAUAUAUAUAUAUAUAUAUAUAUAUAUAUAUAUAUAUAUAGAUGAUUCUUUUUGCUAUAUAUACAUUAUUUUGGUUCUUUAUAUAUAUGAUGUAUAAUUUUAUUGGGAAAUUUUGUUUUGCAAAAUGUCCUUUAUACUAGAUCAUCACCCGUACUACUGUACGGGUUAAAUUUUAUUUACUACAAAAUUUAUCUAUUAUAUUUUUUAAAAUUAAAGUCGUGAUAUAUUAUAUAAUAGUAAGUAAAAAAAUAAUUUUUUUCUGCCAGUCUCUAUAUAUAAUAUUAGAAUGAAUAGAUAUAUUUUCUGAUAUGAAAAUAGAAAAUAAUAUUAUUUUCAAAAAAUUAAUAUUAUUUGAACAAUGAAUUAAUUUAUGUUAACAACCACAAAAUGAGAUUGCAUAUAAUUUAGUUAGAUCAAAAAUCAAAAUAUCAUAAAUGAAUCGCAUCUAAAUGUAGAUUAUUUUGAAUUAAUUAAGAAAUUUAGCUAGUAUUUUGAAUUAAUUUAGGAAAUUAUUUUUUCAAUUUCUAAUUCAUUGGUUGUUGUAGAGAUUUGUUUGAGCUAAAUACGGAAUUUACCAAUUAUUCGCAUAAUCGAAUAUGUUAUAAACAUAUAGUUGUUAUAUAAUAAUACCAAAUUUAACCCGUGCGUGGAGUCUGUAUUUUCAUUUUAGAAUCCCAAUGAAAAUAUUGUGUGUACGAUCUAUUAUUCAUUAUUUCCCAAAUUGCUUGUAGAAUCAAUUUUUCAAAUAUUUAGAGGUGUCAAACCUUAUUUAACUCAUCUCAUCAUAUAAAUAUAAAAUACCGUCUGUUAUAAGGAUCAUAACUUUCUAUCAUAUAAUACAUUACAUUUAACUUGCUGCUUGCUAUAAAUAUUUUAAAUAUAUCUAUUUAAAAAUCAAAUUAAAGUAUUUAUAAUUUUUUUAUCUUUUUUAAUCUAUUAAAUAUUAAUGAUAUUCUUUAAUAUAUUAAAUUAAACUAUUUACAAAUGUUCCAAAUUAAAAUAUUCAACAUUUUUAUUGUAGUAUAUAAAAUUAUAAAUUAAAAAAAAGAAUUAUAUACAAUAAAUAUAAAUAUUCAAAUAGUUAUAAGGAUCAUACGUCAUUUUAUCAUAUAAUACAUUAUAUUUAACCCACCGCGUAUUAUAAAUAUUUAUUUUCUUUCUAACUUUUUGAUAUAUUAAGUAUUGAUGAUAUUCUUUAAAAAUAUCAAGUAAAACUAAUUUUAAAUGUUGCAAAUUAAAAUGUUUGGAAAAUUUAUUGUAGUAUAUAAAAUUAUACAUUUCAAAAAAUAAUUAUAAUAUAAAUAUCCAAAUUCUUACCAGUUACUCAGUCGGAAUUUUUGUUGAAUUAAUUUUUGUUUAAAAGAAAUAUAUUACUCAAAAAUGAAUUUUUGACCUGUUAAUUUUUUUUCUUCAUACAUUGAACAAUUUAUAUUCGUUUUUAAAAAUUUAAAUCUUGGCAUAUGCAGAAAAAAAUUUACUUUUUUUUUAUUAUAUGGAUGAUUUAUUUAUUUCAUAAAAAUAGAAUCAUAUAAAGAUGAGAGGUGAAGUAUAAUGAUUAAUCACAAAUUAAUAUGGUAAGUUAGAUAUCAAAUCUUAUAUGUUUAUUUUGAUUGGUCAUUCAUUUUUAAAAAAAUUAAUAAUAGAUUUUUUCUUUUUAUAAUUAAAUUAAAUUAAUUAAACUGCAUAAAAUAGUAAUUGACUUGUUUAUCCUUAAUGAGCUGAAUUAAUUUACUCUUUAAAAUUUUAUUUCUAAUGAUAUUCCAAUGUAAUAACUUACAAAAAGUAAGGUUAGUUCAAAAAUGUACUCUCCAAAUAAUAGUAUAAGAUAUCUCUUCAAUAUUUUAACUUAUUUUAUUUUAUUUUAGGAAUGGAUUAACUAAUUUUUUAUCAAUUAUUUAAAAAAUAAUAAUUUAUUGAUCAUAAUUUAACUAAAAGUUAAUAAAUAAUUAGAUUAUUAUAUUAAUUUUAGUAAAAUAGUUGGCGAGGUGGCACUAUAGAUGGAGAGAUAUCAUUUUGGUAUCAUAUAUAUAGGGAAAAUCCCAGAAAAUACCUCCAAGUUGAACAUUUUCCCAAAUAAACCUCAAACUUUUUUAGGUAUCAAAAAUAUAUAUAUAUAUAUAUGGUAUCAAAUAUAUAUAUAUAUAUGGUAUCAUAUAUAUAUAUGAUAUAAUUCCUUAUUGAUACUAAAAUAAUGUUUAAUAUUUAAGUUUAAUGUAUAUUUUUAAUUAAUGUUUCAAUAUAUUGGCAAACAAGUAUAUAUAUGAUAUAUCAUAACCAAUCUACAUUUCUAAAAAACAUAACGAUACUAGAAACUUAAGUAGAGAGUUAAAAACAUCUUAAAAAAUGGCAUAUAGAAGAUUUGUUUUCUUUGCUUUCAUCGCUCUCUCUGUUUUACUUGCAUGUAAGUCUCAUUAGAUCAAAAACCUCCUAAACGAUUUUUUACUUUGAUUUUACUCUUUAAGACCAUAAUCUUGAAAUGUGGUGUAUAUAUUUGUUAUUUUCAGGUGUUGAAUCCAUUUCUAUGGUACGUGAAGAUUCAAUUUUGCCUCCCAACAAAAGAGCUUCAUUGUGUUGCAAAGAUCAUCCCGAGUUUGGAGUAUGUACUAGUAACACCAAGUGCAACAAGAGGUGUCUUAGAGGUUGUAAGAAUAGAAAAGGUGGCUUUUGCAAGAGAAAAGUUUGUCAUUGCUAUUGCUAAACCAGUAAACAUUUUGUUGUAGUUUCACAUACAGAGCAUGUGUGUUCUAAACCAAACAAUAAUAAGAUUAGUAAAGGAACUCUUGACUCUUGAGUAUUAAUUGAUCAAUAUGGAGAUAUAAUAUGUUGGUUUUGCUCGACCGGGAUUUGGGGUUGGUUUGACCGCGAAACAAAUUGUGUCUAAAAAGGCCGAUGCACAAUGGGAUUGCCUGAGGCAAAUAUGUGCGAGCUUCUAUGGUUUGUGGCACUCCGUUAUGCAUACUGCAAACAUGAAAGACCGCACACCUCAAAUGAACUGUCAGAGACUCAGAAGUUUUCGUUUUGGCCACGAAGCGGCUAGUCUCGACCAAACACCCAUUUGAUCCACAUUUGCUAGAAUCAAGCUUGAUUUCGUUGAUUAUCAUUAUCCAAAGUUCUAUCCAUGUUUUCCCUCCAUUUCCCAUGAUUUUUGCCAAAUGUCCCUAAGAAGAGAAAAUAAUCAAAACAAGACUAAUGAUCCUAAAGGACUCUAAAACUUGAUGCGAAUGUAAGAAAAACGACACAAAAAUGAUUCUAAGAUACGCAAACAAAACAUGUACAUCAUCUCUCAACUAAGUAAGAGUUUUAACGAGAAGGAACAGGUUGCAAAUGCAGUCAAAAACCUAUGGGAAGUCGUGAAACCUUCAGAGACCCUCCAGUUUACCGAAAAAUCAUCGAAGAACUUCUAGGAAAUGUCUAGAGAGCUUGACAGUUUUUGAGGUAUUCCAGAGGCAACCAUAACUACUUCGACACCUCCCGAAAAAUCUUUCCCUUGUCCAAUGCUAUUUGAUUGGAAUUAAUGGUUAGAUCAAAUGAACAUUAAAAGGUGCCAUGUAUUAUCGGAACUAUGAUUUGUAAAAAGACUCACAACUAAUGGACACCAUGCAUACUACAAGAAGUUAUCCCACACUAUGAAUAACCAUAUAUUUCCGUCUUGUUUCUAUUUAUUUUUCAAUCGUUUAGUUAUGGUCAGAUUUGAGAUCUCAAUAGGAACAAGAUUUUUUUGGAAUUCGGAACCAAAGGCCUCAGAAGUUAGCAAACUAGGCUAAAUGUAAAUUACUAGCUAGUUAAUAAUUGAUCAAUGAACUUGUUAACUUUGAUCAUGACUUCAAUCUUACAAUCAAGUAAAUAAGUUUGACAAAGACUUAAAAAGUAAAACAGACCAAGACAUAAUUUCUAUUAAAUGAAGAAAAGACACAACACUACACAAAAUGGCAGAUAAGUAAAAAGCUUUUAUGUCAAGUGACCCCAUCUCAUUUGAAUUCUUCCUCAAUAGCUUGUCCUUUUUACUUAAUUCUUCACUUCUUUUGUUUCUUAUACAUCAACUUGACAUCUCCAAUUCUAUACAUACACACACACACACACUCAUAUAUAUAUAUGAAUCUAAACAUCAAUUAGUAAAGAGAGAUUAAAGCCUUUUAGAUUAGAAUAACACAAAGAAGCCACACAAGUUCAAGCACCAUACAUAGAUCAAGACACAUAAGAGGCUAAAACCAUUCCUAGUAGCAACUUUAGGUAGAGACUUCAAACAUAACAAGACCUGGUUCAUGGAGAUGGCGGCCAAAUAUGCGGUUCCAUAUCUAAAAUUGCGUUGUCCGCAUUAAAGUUAUCGUCCCAACCAUGGUCAAAUUCAUCUUCAUAGAACUCUCCCAUAACACCAUCUUCAAAAAAUUCCCAAGCCAAGUAAUCAGAUCCAUCUGAGAAAUAAUCUGAGCAGCAAUCCUCCCAAUCGUUUAUCAUAUCAUAGAAUCCGAUCACGCGUGGACCUAACACUUUCAUAUCUGGAAACUUCUCUUUGAAGAACUUGUUAUCGAGUUGCACGUCCCAACAGCCUCUAAGUUCCAAGAACUCAAGAAAAAUGCAGGAUGAUAAGAUUUUGAGUACUCCUUCUGUGCUGACUCGGUGGUAUGCAAUUUCUAAACGCUUCAGCUUCGGCAUUGUGUUGGCAAUUGCAUAAGCUUCAUCGUCGUGAGAGACAACACUUGCUACAUCCAGUGGAUGCAUGUUUCUGCAAAACUCUCUCAGGGAUUUACAAUGUUUUCCUAAGGCUUGUAUCGCCUCUGGACCUACUUUGCAGCAGUAGCUCAAGUCCAAGAAAGUGAGAGACGAAAGCUUUUCAGCUACGUUUACCACACCCGAAUUAGUCAGACCACUUCUUGGCACCUUCAAGGUUUUAAGUGAACCAGCACUUACAAAAAAAAAGAAGGAAAGAUGGAAAAGUAUUAGUCAGAAAUUGAUAGAUACAAAAGCAAUGAACUUAGAAAUCAUGUUACUUCAAUCUCAUCCCCUAAUACAAUCUAGACUACGCUUAUAACCAUAUAAAGCUUCUCAAAUCGAUAAAGCGGAUAUUCGAGAAAUUCAACUCCCUAAUGUGCAAUGACGGAGAGUUUCCAAUUAUGUUACUGCAUCAAUCUCAACUAAAUACACCACUGAAACUAGCUUUUUAAGAAUCAGCUCCAGAUUAUCAAACACAAACCUAGAUUACACCAAUAACCACUUAAAGCUUCUUCUCAAUUUGAUCAUAAUACGCCAAACAAAGCAGAAAUCCAGGAAAUAGCAACUCACUGUUGUGCAAUGAAGGAGAAGAUAGAGUCAUUUCGAAGGCCAGUAACGGAGAGUUUUCGCAACGAACCAGAGCUCCUAGGGAUCAACAUCUCAAGCAUCCGGUCGAGAUGAUCAGACUGAUGACAACGGUUACUCCACAGCUCAAUGUCAAUCUCUUGCCAACAAUAAGGUCCAGUAACAGCUCUGUUCCAUGCUUUGCAAACUCUAGGCACCACUGUUAGUACCUCUUGAAGAGCUAAAUGACUGAAGAUUAAACCAAGAGCGUCUGGUAUCAACUCAUCCCAAUGUCGAAACUCGCAAUCUUCUUCCAUCUACAAACCAAUACAAGAAAUGAUCAUUUAUACUAAGAUAAUCACACAAAUCUUCAAAAUCUAUGUACCUAAGAACCUCAUAACUAAGAAAAGGCUAAAACUUUAUUUCUUGAAGCAAUCACAAGAUUCAUACUUUUGUACCAAGAUCCAAGAGAGAUCAUAAACAAAUGAAGAAAACUCAAGAUCUAACAAACCCAUAUGAACAAAAACAUGUUUAAAGAACACUAAACAUGUUUAAAGUACAAUCACUAACUCCGAAGCUCCCACUGCAGAAAGAACAGAAAAAACAGAGAGAUCUGAAAUAAAAAGUUGAAAGAGCUCAAGAACCAGUGAAGUUACUAGAAUUAGAAAGAUAGAUACUAAAAGAAGUAAAAAGGAAACCACUUUCUCACACCCAAAAACUAUCAACAAGUUAUUGAUACUCAGAACUAAGAAAACAAACUUUAUUCACCAGAAAAAAAUCUCUAUAGGUCCAAAAACUUCUUCAAUGUUUGUUCACCACAAAAGCUUGGGCAGGAAAGAGAAAGAGAGAGAGAGAGAUCUACUUCACCUAACGAAAGAGAGAGCAUCAACAAUAUACAACCAAACAACAAGAACAAAGCAACAACAGUAAAAACGCAGCAGAGUAAAUUCUAUGACAACAAAAGGGUCCCUCCAACAAGAAAUCAAUUAUUUUUAAAAAAGAGAGAGAAAAAAAAAACAGUAGAAUUUGUACAUUUUAAUGGAGGAAACAGAAUAAAUCAAGAAACAGUUUGCUUUAUUUUUUACUUACUUUAAUUCCUCAAUAAGUAAGUGAAAAAGAGAAUCCCUUUUUACACGAUUCUGAUCAGAGAAUCUACAAAACUUUUAUGUAAAUUCUCCAACUAAAAGAAAAAAGUUUUGAUUUUUAUCUUCUCAAGUCUCUCGGGAAAGAGAUAUCGUAUUAUAUUAACUGUGAAAACUAAGAAAGUUUUGAUUUUUUUUGUUUAAUUUUGAUGGCAAAUAGGUGCCGUGGAAAUUGGGAAUUACUAUGACCAAGUGUGUGUGUGUGUGACAUUUUUGACAUUAUUGAUGAGAAUGGAGAGAGUUUACUUGUAGGUGAAAAUACCGACACGUGUCGGUGAGAAAGUGGAAGAUAGUGUACACGUGUCUGUAGAUGGUGUUGUGGGAUCUCUUACCGACGUUGACUUGUUUGACUUUGUACAAGGAUUCAGAGAUAUCUAGAUGAGAAAAAGUUUUUAUUAGGACCAAUGAGUAAAAGCGUGAUCAAUACGAGACUCAAAGCCCAUUUUUGAAGCACAAAUGUGAAAUGUGUAAUUUUCACGAUUCAGAAUCUGGUCCGUUGUGAAGUUAAGACUUUUCACGAAUCAAGAUACAGAAGACCAACCGGGCCUUGUGGCCUAAUGGUAAAGGGAUCACAGCUGUGACUUCCGCCACCAGGGUUCGAGGCACGGUCACUGGCAGGUUUACAUAGGGGAAUUGCCAGCCUCGUGGGAUUAGUCCUUGGGCCUAGGAAGCCUUUGGGAGACCCGCGGUUAUUCAAAAAAAAGAUACAGAAGACCGAUUUCCUUCGAUGUCGUUUCAUACUUCGGUUUAUAAGUUUAACACCUCAUUUCUUUAUUUUUAACAUUCUACAUCAUAUUCUUUCUCUUUCACUUCAUAAUUCAACACACAUGUUUUGUUUGAUCAAAUUCAACACACCUUACUUCACUACUUAUAUUUCAUAUACUUUUUUAAAAAAAAAUUUGUAACUAUAUAUUAAUAACAAUCAUCAAUUAAAGUCAAAUUAUUAAAAGCUACAUAACUUUCUAAGGCCCAUAACUACAAUAUAUUCUUAAAAUUAUUAAAGUACCAUCAUAACUGAAAUAUUAUUGAAAUCUAUCUCACAAAAAAGGAUGUUGAAGGAUUUAAACAAGAAUUUAUUAGAAAAUAAUUAAAUUAUAAAAGAAAAUUAUUUCCUUCGUCCUCCAUAUUAAGUAACCUUGAUUACUUGUUCUGGAGGGACAAGGACUUUGGAGCGACUAAGGAGAGUUUACGCAUUUUCUUUUUGAUUAUGUAGUAUAUUUGGAAUGCGAGAAAUAUGAAUAUCUUUGAAAAUAUCGAUGAAUCCCCUCAAGACAUCCUGAAGUUAGCUACCUAAGAAGAAGAAGUUUGGAGACGUGCCAACAAUAGUGAAGAGUCGUCUCAGGAAGCAACAUUUAUCUUAGCUGAGCCUCUUGUCCCACAAGAGUCCCUUGUGUGUUUCAUUGAUGGAUCAUGGCAUGCUACAGAUGCUCAAAGCGGACAUGAUUGGAUCGUCAGAAUAGGUGAUAGAAACUUACACGUUGAGAUAAAAAGUUCCCACAAAUAUCUUUCUCCUGUCCACAUUGAGCUGGAACCCCUUCUUUGGGCAAUGAAAAGUUUGCUGGCACUUUCUAUGGAUAGAGCCCUCUUUGCGACACAUUGUUCAGAUUUACUUGCUAUGACUGCUAGUAUUGAAGAUUGGUCUAUUUUUACAUCAAAGCUAACAUAUUUCAAGCAGAUAAUCGGGCAUUUCAUACCCGACAUACACUCAAGUGUUCAAUUCAUACCUAAUAUUUUCUUGUGUGCUAAUAUAUACCCAAUCUUUUUAAUAAUUUAAAUUUCAUAUCUAAAUUUACUAAAUCAUGCGAAAUUAUACACUUUGCUGACGUGGACGCCACAUAUUUGAUGAUGUUGAUGAUGUGGCUACCACGUCUUCGAUGACAUCAUUGCCACAUUAUCAUCACAUUAAAAAAAAUAUUUCUUCGCUUGACCUUUUUCUUCUUCAUUAUUAUCAUUUAACAAAACUGUAAAAAAUUUAUUAUUGUGAUAUAAAAAUUUGAAAUCUUAUUUUCGAUACUAAUAACCAAUAUUUAUAAAUUAAGUUUUCUCGUUUUUUUGUCUUCAACUUUAAAAUAUCUUUUGGUGACUAUAUAUGAUUAUUGUAGGGUUUAUGUUCUUCACUAAAUGCAAUUUGAAUAUUUUUAGAAGUUAAAUUACGAAUUUUGGAUUUACAAACUUGGUUUAAAUAAUAUAUUCGAUUGAAAUAUUGGUUAUAAGUAUCAAAAAAUGAUUUUAAAUGCUUACAAUAAAAAAAAAAAUUUCACAGUUCUAUCAUAUGAUAAUAAUGAAGAAGAAAAAGUUCAAGAAAAAAAAUUAUUUUCUAAGGUGAUGAUGACAUGGCAACGAUGUCAUCAAGGACAUGGCAGCUGCGUCAUCAACAUCAUCAACGAUGUGGCAUCCACGGCAGCAUAAUGUAUGAUUUCGCAUGAGUGUUUUCAUCUUCUGAUAAACAUUAACCCUCUCGCCGCGAGGUUCGUGACCAAACGCAAUCAACCGGGGAGGUAGGAAGCAGAAUCGGAGGCAUCGGUUCUAGAAAAAAAUCGAUAAACUCUAGUUAGACAACAAAAAACAUGUCGCUGAAAGCAAAAUCAAAAGAAAAAAUUGAUUUUAAUUACCAGAAAAAAACGAGAAGAACAAAAACCAGAUCUGAGAUAUAAACCCUUGCUCGAAAAACAGAACCAGAGAAAAAGAAUGCGAGAGGACAGUUUUGGGGAGUUGUUUCCUUUUUCUUUCAGCCUCAAAACGCCUUCUCUCCUCCUCGUAUAGGAUGAGGAAAAACACGACUGUUCGGUAACUGACCAAGAAAAAAAUUAAAAAAAAAUAAAUAAACACAACUCCCCAAAAAUAUCUCUCAAAAUCUUCUCCUACCGUUUGCAAUGAUACAGCCCUAUAAUCUAUAUGCGACUCCCUUGAUGCUAUAGGGGUACAUGCGUAAAAAAAAAUGAACAGAAGCGAGGGAACAGUGCAAAAUGAAGGGAGUGAAUUAUCGAUUCGUCUAUGCAUAUCUAUUGAUAUUUUCCAAUAAGUUAUUUUACAGUUAUUCUUAUUUAGAAUAAAAAUAUACUUAAAGUUAUUCUUAUUUAGAAUAAAAAUAGGAUGAUAUAUAAGAGAGAAAUUCUGCUUUAUUUUACAGUUACUCUAUUUAUAGUAAAAAAUAGAGCAAUAUAGUGGAUGUGGUCUUAUAAGAGGCUAAAACUAUCUACAUUAGUUACAUGUUUACAAUACCCAUUUUUUUUUCUUUUGACACUUCACAUCAUCUUCUUUCUUCCACAUCAUACUUCAACACCGAUAUACUUUUAUCUUUUACAGUAGUUUGAUUUUGAAAUUGAUAAUUGUUGGGAUUUGGGUAGUUAAAAAGGUAAUUAGAAGAAUUUUGGGAGCUAAAAAGAUUAUUAUUAGGAUCCAUUUCACUAAAAAGACAGUAAAACAAUAAACAAGAGUUUAUAAUAGUAAAAAUGUGGUUUUUUUGUCCAAAUUAAGUGAAACAAGUCUCUAUUUACAGAUAUGAAAAUGAUGAAUUUUGGUAUAAAAUAAAAUUUAAUAUUCUAUGACAUAAUUGAUCUCAAAUAAUUCGUUUGAAAAAAUAAUAUAUGAAAUCCCAGCAUCUAAUAGAAAUAGAACACAUGUAUUUAUCUAAACAUUAUGAUAGAAUAACAAGUUUAAGCAUUCAAUAUGUGCCAUAUACAGUGAGACCCACCUCAUAUGUGUUUCAAUGCAGUUGGAUCGAUUCAACAAUGUUGUCUCCACCCCAUCUUUAUUUUUUUUCAACAAGCCAUUGGAGUUAUUCAACAGUUGAUAAAUUUAUUCAACAGCUUAAAAACGACCAUUGUAAGUAGUCUAAGUCGGAAAAUAUUAAUUAGCCCUUAAACAAAAAUAUAUAUAUAUAUAUAUAUAUAUAUAUAUAUAUAUAUAUAUAUAUAUAUAUACAUUAAUUAGCCAAACCAAAAUGAUGUUGUUUAGCUUCUCUUAUAAUGUUGAGCGACAUCGUUUAGUACCUACAUAACAGACAUAUAGUGGGUACAACCACAAAUGAGGUAUUUAAGAGCAACCUUAAUGGUUGGAUCCAAAAAUUGGGAUCCAAACAAGAUUCGUAAUAUUUAUAAUAGAAAAUAAAAAAUUUAGACACUUUGAAUGUUUUUUAUUUUUGGACAGUCCAAUGGUUGAUCCAAAAAGUGAAGAUCCAAAAAAACAAAGCUGUUAAAAAAAACUGAGAGAGAAAACAAAGGUGCAACAUUUUUUCCCCUUGUUUAAAAAAACAACCAACCCACGUUUGCCACGUAUGCGUGUCCAAAAAUGUUCUAAAAAUCCAAAGUUAGAAUGGAGUCUAUUGUUUUUAUUCAUUUUUGAUUUAUUUUUUAGACACUUUGUGUCUUAGACCUCCACUUGGAUCCAUCGUUAAUGAUGGUCUAGGAUCAAGAGUAUAAACAAACUAUAUGAAAGAAGCUAUAUAUAAAAAGGAGGAAAGGAUUUUAUAAAAAAGAAAAUCUUAUUUUUGUUAAAAUACUCCCAGGAUUACAAGAUUCUUAGACUCUCUCAAACUUUUUCUCAUUCACUUAACUUAGUCUCUAAUGACAAGAUUCUUAGACUCUCACAUAUGUUAAAAGUCAUUUUUCAUUAUUCAGAAAUGAAAUUUAAAAAGUAUAAUAGUAUGAAUAUGAAAUUUCGAAAAUUAUACGUGUAUUCAAACUUGUGUCCAUCAAAACCUAACAUCAAAAAAUGUUGACUGGGCUUACACACAUUCGCUCACUGGGUUACGCACAUUCGCUCACUGGGCUUACACACAUUCGCUCACUUACGCACAUUCGCUCACUGGGCUUACACACAUUCGCUCACUGGGCUUACGCACAUAAAAAAAUGUUGACAGGGCUUACACACAUUCGCUCACUGGGCUUACACACAUUCGCUCACUUAUGAAAUAAGUUUGUUAGAGAAAGCUAGGUUUCCCUAAAAAAGGGUUUUCUCGCUCAGUGUCAUCGUUCCGGUGAUGACCUUCAGGUCAAGAUACUAAAGUGGAAUGGAUUGCAUUUCAAUCUUGCCUAUAAUGUUGAUUAUUUUCCCCAGCGUAUGUGAUCGAAGAGCCUUUCAGCAGCUUAAUAAAGGCUGGAAUUUACAACCGGACUACUACGUGUCGGUUCCGAAGGCAUAAUUCUUUGCGGUAACUGCAUGAACUUGCCAAGAAAGUCGGAAAGAGAUUCACUACUACACAUAAGGAGAUAAUUUAGGGAUUUUCUAUUUUUCUGAUCUUGAGAGACGCAAGCAGGAAUGUUUUUAGCUCAAUUGUUUCAGUUGUAACCGAGGGGUAAGAGAAAUUCUGUUCUUAAGGAUUUCUAAACAAAACAUUCGUUUUCUCUUUAUAGGCAGAAGGGAUUUAUCAAAAAGACAAUGUGAAGUUUAAAACACAGAGAAUACAAGAAGAAGAUGGCAUGCGUAUCAGAUACAUGCAAAAGCAAAGGCGACUCCACUUUAUGUUAAUCCACCUCAAGGAAGAGAAAAUCGCUGUCCCUGCUUCUAUUUAUGGCACUGAAGUAAAUCACUCUUCCCUGCCAACACCAUUUUUUCGCAAUUAGAUUCCACAGCGAAGUUUUAAAACAUCUGCAUUUCAACGGCUAAAGAAAUACUAACGAUUCAGCUGUGUAGAACUCAACAUGAGAUGUUAGCUAUAGGAGCCAAUGAGAAGCUGUCAGUUUUGUUCAUGUCUAAUGAAAAAUGGGGAGCAAAUUUGGGUAGAGAAUGGUGAUGCAAACAAUAUUGUGCAGCGGUACCAAAUACGCUCACAUUAGUUUUCAGCAAAUUAUUCUCUAUAAGUAUCCAAUUAAUGAUCACAACACAUGUGAAACCGCUAAUGAGAAAAUCCAUAAGCAGAUAAUGUAACUUCAAAUCUGCUAACUAAAAAAUUUCUCUACCUUACAGAAUCAGCAAAAUUCAUACAAGCUAUGACUUCCCACUAGACCCAGCGAGUCUCUCAGAAGACCAGGGUUCCACAAAAGUAUCAUCUAUUCUGAAUUUGGUAAUGCAAUCUACGAAUUCUCAAAAUCAUUACAGGUUUCAUUCUAGAUAUCAAUAUCAGGAUAGAUAAUCCAAUCUAUAAACCAUUACACAACCAUAGGUUUCUAUUAAAAAGCAAUAGUGAUCAGCUAAAAAUGAGACAAAAGGAAAGAUGUAGAAUCGUACCAUUUGAUGAGCCAGCCAAAGAGGAAAUGCUGCAUAAUCGGAACUUUCUCGAGCACUUCGACUCUAUACAUCUUAAGCAAACCGCUAUUCACUUUCUUCCAGUUCGGUACACCACUUAUAUCAUCCAACAACGGCGAAUGCUCAGCAAACAAACCUUUCUUCACCUUCUUCACAAAGGCAAUACAAGACAAGUACAUGUAUUCACUAGAGAAAUUCUCCAAAAUGUCAUCGUUAUGAAUCGAUUUCGGUUUCAUAUACUUAUGAUCAAUCAACUGAGAACUCCCAAAUAUAAACGGCAAGAAAUGGUAAUCAUCAAGUCCCCAAACUCCAUGAGAUCCAGCUGGUUCUAAGCAAUAAACCAUUUGCAGUUUCCUCAUCAAUUCCAAAUACUUAACAAAAACCCUAGCAACCAAACCAUGAUAAUCCUCUUCUUUCACAAUCCCCAUCCUAGCUAAACAAUACAACCAUGCCGCGAAAUUCGUCUCGUGUCCGGUUCCGUAAUCAAUCCUACUAGAGUUCCCAAAGCUAUCGAAGAAGUAAGGAACAAUCUCAAUUACAGAUUCUUUAAAUUCCUCAGGAAGAAACUCAAGAAUAAGCGAUUCACCUCUCUCGCCGAGCCGUUCAUGCCAUGACCUAAACGAAACGUUACCAUAUCGAGCCGAUUGUUGAGCAGGAGGAAUCUCAUCGAUCCAUUGUAACAAGGUUUCAAGGAUUGAAACUAUGGCGGCGACGGUUGGUGAGAUAUCACAAGGAUCUGAGAUCUUAUAACCACGGAUCGAUUCUGAGAGAGAUACUAUGAAUCCUAAGAAGUUCUUACAAGAUGCAGAUUCGUGAAAUCGGCGGAUAUCGUCGGGAGAGUGGAUUCUUUUGACGGGAGAUUGGAAUUGAUACGGCGGAGAUACGACGGGGACUUGUUCGGCGUGAGGAACGGGAGAGAGGAUUAUCGCUUGAGAGUUGUGUGGGAGAUUGAUUGCUGGAGCUCGGAUCGGGCGAUAGUUUGGUGGUGGUGACAUCUCCGGGAAUGAAGCGAGUGGUGGUGGUUCGGAAAUCGUUGGUCCGCCGCAGUUUGUACAGCAACCGGAGGGAGGAAAGGCAGAGGAAACGGUGGCCGGAGCUUCGGAGGUUGAUUUCUCCGGCGUGUUUUGUUGUUCCUUUGAAGAUUCCAUUUUCGAAGUGUUUACAGAGACGUAACGAUACUCGAGUGAGCAAAGGAAAGGGUUAAUAAAAGUUCCAAAGGAAUAGUUAUGGAUCACCAUAAAAAGCCCAAAGAUGGUUUUGUAACCCAAUAAUAAGCCCAGAGUUGGUAAGUAGCAAAUUGGUCUGCCAAUGAUAUCAUCAAAUGCAAUGUGAGUUCUUCAUGGACUAAUUCAAGUUUUAUAUGUGGUGUUGCUGGGUGGAUCGCAAGAGAUCAUAUUGGUGCAGCAGUCUUUACCUACCUUUAACAAGAUUACGACAACAUUGUGUUGUAUUUUGUGGAUUCUUAGAAGCUGACAUGAUCUUCGAAUAAGAAAAUAGAGGUGUGGUUAGAUUGUGCUCGUGCUAUUGAAGCUUUGGAUAAUCCUUCCCCGUUAUCGGUUAUCGGACAUACCUUGGCUAUAUACACAGCCUACUUCCAAGUUCCUAGUGGUGUAAGUUCAAGGUAAUGAUGCAUCAAACUAACUCUAUAGCCGGUUUUGUGUUUAUGAGUUAAUAGUUGAUGAGAGAAUUGAAGAACAAACGAAGAAGAAAGUGAAGAUUCUGUUAUUUCUCAUAAAACGUUUGUUACAACAAUGAUUUCUAUUUAUAGUCUAGUGCUCCGGUUAUCACAUUCUGAUUCCCGGUUUACACAAACCAUAUCUCUAUACCAAUAGCCUCCCUCAAGAUGAGACGUAUAUGGAAUGAAGACUCAUCUUGCCAAUAAGAGAGUUGAAUAAGGAAGGGAACAAAGGCUUGGUCAAAACAUCUGCAAGCUGAGAAAUAGUGGUAACAUGUAGAGUCUUUAGCAAACCUUGUUCGAUGCGAUCUCUUGUAAUAUGGCAAUCAUUCUCAAUGUGCUUUGUUCUCUCGUGGAAGACCGAGUUAUUGGCGAUGUGAAUUCCAGCAGUAGAGUCACAGAACAUAGGGACGGGUUUGGUUUGCGGGAUUUGAAACUCUGCAACCAACUUCACCAACCAAGCAAUUUCCUUACUUGCCAUAGCCAUUGCCCUGUACUCAGAUUCUGCAGAUGAAGCAGAGGCCAUAUCUUGCUUCUUUGAUUUCCAAGACACAAGAGAAUCACCUAGGAACAUACAAUAACCUGAGGUUGAUCUCCUAGAGUCGAUACAUGAACCCCAAUCAGCAUCAGUGUAAGCUGUGAGACAAAAAUCAGACUUGGAAGAGUAAAAUAAACCCAAACCAGUUGUUCCUUUCAAGUAAUGAACCACCUUAUGAGCUGCUUUAAGAUGAGAAUUCUUUGGAGAAGAAGAGAACUGGCAUAGCUUGUUGACAGCGUAUGUUAUAUCAGGUCUAGUAAUUGUGAGAUACAUCAAUUACCAACCAAUCUCCUAUAAGUCUCUGGAUUCUCUAGCUCCGGUUCAUCACUAUGUUGUGUCAGCUUUACACUAGGUUCCAUUAGGAUCGAAGAAGGCCUGCAGCCUAACAAACCAGUUUCUUCUAAUAACUCCAAAGUAUACUUCCUUUGGCAUACUGAGAUUCCUUCCUUAGAUCUAGCAAUCUCUAAGCCCAAAAAAUACUUCAAAGGACCUAAAUCCCUGAGUUUAAAGGACUGUGCUAAAUCUUUCUUUAACUGAGUAAUAGCAUCUUCAUCAUUCCCAGCAAUCACUAUAUCGUCUACAUACACUAAAAGUGUUGUGAAAACGUUACCAUUUAUGCGGGUGAAGAGUGUAUGAUCAGCUUGAGACUUCUUGAACCCAAAAUUCAUCAAUGUUGUGCUAAACUUCAAGUACCACUGUCGGGAUGCUUGUUUUAAUCCAUACAAGGAUUUUUCCAGCUUUAGAACAGCAUUGUCAGGUAGAGAGCCUCCCUGUUUUGGUGAAUAACCUGGGGGUAAACUCAUGUAGAUCUCCUCGUCUAAAUCCCUAUUAAAGAAUGCAUUUGAAAUGUCUAACUGGUGUAAACUCCAAUUCUUUGUAGCUGACACUGAAAGAAGAACUUUCACUGUUGUCAUCUUUGCUACAGGGGAAAAUGUAUCACCAUAAUCCAAACCUUCCUUUUGUGUAUACCCUUUAGCUACUAAACGAGCUUUAAAUCUCUCCAGACUACCAUCUGCGUUAAGCUUGACUUUAAAAACCCAUUUGCAACCAAUAGGCUUCUUGCCAUCAGGUAGACUGCAGACUGUCUAAGUAUUUGUCUCCUCCAAUGCAUCUAUUUCAAUCUCCAUUGCAUCAAGCCAUUCUUUUAUUUUCUUGGCUUGAGCAUAGGUGUUGGUGUCGGAUCCCGCACCAGAGGUCCAGGACCAACCAAAGAUUGCCACGUAGUCAGGGUAGCGGUCCGUAAAGGAUAAAGCCCAUCAGACCCACGAGUCAAAAGAACAAUCGAAGUGGUAACCACCAUAAGGAGAAUUUGAAGUGACUGCACCUCGACACGAGUCCGGAGACGAGGUCAUGGUUAAAUCGGUCCAAGGACAUUUGGGCCGAAAGGCGAGGCCCAUAGAGAUCGGAGUCAACUCAAAUUCAAACGUUGAGCAUUAAAGUCAAGGAAUCAAAACGGACACAUUUAAGAGGGAAUAAUUGUACUUAAUUAUUCAUUUUAAUGUCGUUUCUCUAUGUAUAAAUAUAAAGGUCAAUGGCCAUGUAAAAGGGGAUCUUCUUCUGGAGAAAAGAAAUAAUAUAGCAAUUUUCGUAGCAAUUUAUAAGUUUUUACAUAUUCAUUUUUGUCCCUCAAGAGUAAUCUUUCCUACUUAAUAGAAAUACUUGAGUGUGUGAAUCCGACUUCCACAUUUUGGCGCCGUCUGUGGGGACAGAGGAUUCUUGAGUGGUCAGAUUUUUUCUUUACUACAUUUCCGAGAUAAGCAACAAUGUCCGGAGGAGACGCCGUUGAUGCAUCAUUGGCCGAAACCCUCAAAGCUAUGCAGCAAACCAUGUCGGACAUAUCACAAAAGUUCUCGGAUGUGGAAAAGGCCGUUGAUACGUUGCAAACAUCCCAGGUAUCUCUUAGUCAAAACGUCAGUACUAUACAAACUCGUGUUUGCUCUUUAAGUGCAGGAAACCUUGUGGGAAUCCGAAGAGGGAUAUUCAACUCGCCAAGUUCCGCUGCACGAAAUGAAACCAGCGAACAAACAACUCCUGGUGCUACUAAUAAUGUAGCUCAGACGUUGGAAGAAGAGACACAGCUCGGAGAUGAAGAACAACUUGCAGCUCAAUACGAGCAGGAGAACCUCGACCAGUUCGAGACCAUGAGGAAGGUUAGCCAGGAAUUAAAAGAAAUGAAAUCAAAAUUUCAUCAAGCUACAAGUUCGGAGCCAGACAUCAAUCGAGUCAUUGAAGAAGCUAGGCGAACACCUUUCAUCUCGCGAAUUGCAAGUUUGAGGAUCAAAGAUUCCCGGAAACUCAAGUUGGACCCUUACAGCGGAUUGGAGGACCUUAAAAGCUAUCUCGCAGCUUUUCUGAUCGCUGCUGGAAGAGUCGAAUUGGAUGAAGCUGAUGAGGACGCAAGUUACUGCAAGCUCUUUUCGGAAAAUUUAUGUGGCCAAGCUCUAAUGUGGUUCACCCAAUUAGAGCCGGGUUCGAUCAGCAAUUUCGACGAACUAUCAGCCGUAUUCUUAAAGCAAUAUUCCAUCCUUAUGGAUAAAAGCGUUUCGGAUGCCGAUCUUUGGAACUUAUCGCAAGGAUCAAAUGAGUCACUUCGAGUUUUCAUCACCAAGUUCAAAGGAGUGCUGUCAAAGCUCCCAAGAAUCUCACAACAAUCAGCUUUAACUGCCCUACGAAAAGGAUUGCGACAUGAUUCAAGGUUUAAAGAAGACUUAAUACUUCAUAAGCCAGACACAAUUCAGGAUGCACUCUUCCGUGCAAACAACUGGAUGGAGGUAGAGGACGAAAAAGAAAGUUUUGCCAAAAGAAAUAAGCAAGAGAAGCCGGCAAUCACCGUCCCUACCAAAAAAUUCGAACCCAGGGAGAACAAAGGACCAAAGAAAUUUGGGUCGCAACCCUUCAACAGUACCGUCGGAAAGCAAUUCCAAGGGAAAGGAAGAUCAAACACUUGGGUCCGUGAUGAAAGUCUAUAUUGCGACAUUCAUAAAGUAACCGGACAUUUAACCAAGGAUUGUAGCGUUCUUAAAAGGCACAUCGCAGAGCUUUGGGCCAGUGGAGAUCUUUCCAAAUUCGAUAUAAAAGAUUUUGUGAAGGAAUACCACGAAGCAAAGGAAAGUUCCAAAGAUCAAAAUUCCAAAAGACCAAGAUUAACCAAUGAGGAAGAACCAAGGAAUUCUAAGGGUAAGAUCAAUGUUAUUCUAGGAGGUUCCAAAUUUUGCGGAGAUUCGAUAAGUUCCAUCAAGAAAUAUAGACGAAAUAUCCUACUCAAAGCAAGUUUAAGCGAAGAAGUCGAUUUUCAAGGUGCAUCAAUAUCAUUUAAUGAAGAAGAAACGCGGUACCUCGAAAGACCUCAUGAUGAUGCUCUAGUCAUUACCCUUGACGUUGCCAACUUCGAAGUAUCAAGGAUCCUUAUAGAUACAGGCAGUUCGGUCGAUUUGAUCUUUUUAAGUACUUUAGAAAGAAUGGGAAUUAGUCGGGCGGACAUAGUGGGGCCUCCGUCUCCAUUAGUUGCAUUCACAAGUGAGUCAGCCAUGUCUCUCGGGACAAUCAAGCUACCGGUCCUCGCUAAAAAGGUAUCGAAGAUCGUGGAAUUCGUUGUCUUCGAUAAGCCCGCAGCUUACAACAUCAUCCUCGGUACUCCCUGGAUUUAUCAAAUGAAAGCGGUCCCCUCUACAUAUCAUCAAUGUAUUAAAUUUUCAACAUCAAGAGGAGUGGAAAUAAUUCGGGGUGAUCAAGAAGCUUCACGGACGUGUUAUCUAGCUAGCCACCGUAUGAAGAUUCAAUAGCAAUUAACGAAGCCCGCAAAAGAGGGACUAAGAACAAAAUUUCCUAACGGGUAGAAGAAAGAUGAUGUAGUAAUCGAAGUGGUGUUGGAAGAAGACAAGCCGGACCGGAAAAUUCGAAUUGGGGCAACUUUGACUGGCCAAAUAAGAGAAGCUUUGAUCGAACUCUUAAGGAAAAACAAAACAUCGUUUGCAUGGUCAGCAGUGGACAUGCCUGGCAUAAAUCCAAGUAUAAUUUGUCAUGUACUAAACGUGGAUCCAAGCUUCAAACCGGUGAAACAAAAAAGAAGAAAGCUUGGAGUGGAGCGAGCAAAAAUAGUAAACGACGAAGUGGAUAAACUUUUGAAGAUAGGGUCCAUAAGAAAAGUACAAUAUCCGGAAUGGGUAGCAAAUACUGUCGUUUUCAAGAAGAAGAAUGGGAAAGAUAGGGUCUGCAUCGACUUCACAGACCUCAAUAAAGCAUGUCCCAAAGAUAGUUUCCCGCUCCCACAUAUAGAUCGACUUGUAGAGUCCACCGCUGGGAACGAGCUGUUAACAUUCAUGGAUGCCUUCUCGGGUUAUAAUCAAAUAAUGAUGAACCCCGAAGACCAAGAAAAAACGUCAUUUAUCACUGAUAGAGGUAUCUAUUGUUAUAAGGUAAUGCCUUUUGGUUUGAAAAAUGCAGGAGCAACUUAUCAACGUUUGGUUAACAAGAUGUUCCAUAAUCAUCUCGGGAAAACAAUGGAAGUCUACAUAGAUGAUAUGUUGGUUAAAUCGUUAAAGAAAGAGGAUCACGUUAAGCAUUUAGAGGAAUGUUUUGAUAUUCUCAAUAAAUAUCAAAUGAAGCUGAACCCGGCGAAGUGCACAUUUGGAGUCCCAUCCGGAGAAUUUCUUGGUUAUAUCGUGACAGAAAGAGGGAUUGAAGCCAAUCCAAAUCAAAUUAACGCCUUUCUAAACAUGCCCUCUCCAAGAAACUUCAAAGAAGUACAACGGUUUACUAGGCGGAUUGCGGCUCUGAAUCGUUUUAUCUCGAGAUCAACAGAUAAGUCGUUGCCUUUCUACCAAAUUCUGAAAGGGAACAAAGGAUUCCUUUGGGAUGAGAAGUGUGAAGAAGCUUUUGGGCAGCUUAAGGCAUACUUAACCACUCCACCUAUAUUGUCCAAACCGGAAGUGGAUGAAAAACUUUAUUUGUACGUGUCGGUUUCAAACCACGCGGUUAGUGGAGUCUUGGUUUGGGAAGACCGUGGGGAGCAGAAACCAAUUUACUACGUGAGCAAGUCAAUGACGGAUCCGGAAACCAGAUACACAAUGAUGGAAAAACUUGCACUCGCGGUGGUAACUUCGGCUCGGAAGCUGCGCCCAUAUUUUCAAUCCCAUCCGGUUGAAGUAUUAACUAACCAACCACUCCGAACAGUACUUCAUAGUCCAAGUCAGUCCGGACGCUUGGCGAAAUGGGCGGUGGAGUUAAGCGAGUAUGAUAUAGAAUUCAAAAGCCGGAUCAGUAUGAAAGCUCAGGUUCUAGCAGAUUUCAUAACCGAGCUACCAAUACCUGGAAUGAUAGAGCAUUCGGAGAACCAAACUUGGAAAUUACACGUAGAUGGGUCUUCAACAAAGCAAGGAUCCGGAGUUGGAAUCAAGUUGGAAUCUCCAACAUCAGAAAUUCUAGAACAAUCAUUCCGGUUGUUAUUCAAUGCCUCCAACAAUGAGGCAGAGUACGAAGCCCUGAUUGCCGGACUUCGAUUAGCACAAGGAGUUGGAGCUAAGGAAAUAUUGGCUUAUUGCGAUUCACAAUUAGUAUUUAACCAGUUUAAUGGAGACUAUGAAGCCAAAGACUCAAGAAUGGAAGCGUACUUCGAAGUGGUGAAAGAUCUAUCUAAAAAUUUCUCGAAAUUCGAAUUAAUCCGCAUACCUCGGGGAGAGAAUACAACUGCGGAUGCACUUGCCGCAUUGGCGUCAACAUCAGAUCCUGAGUUAAAAAGAGUUAUUCCAGUGGAAUGCAUUUCGGAGCAAAGCAUUCAAGACAACAAAGAAACCCUCGUCGUUACAAGGUCUCGAGCAGCGGCACGCGACCGUGGCGAACCAGAGAUCGAACCGCCACCCAACAAACAGAGAAAGUCAAGGGGAUCAAAUACAUCUAACAAGGAACCCGUUGUCUUAGCUGAAGAUGUGAUUCCAGAAGCAAUAUUAGAAACCGAACCGUUAAUCGAGGAGGAUGUUCUUGAACCAAACGAACAUCCCGAGCCAGAGCCACGAGUAUUUCACAAGGUCGACCAAAUUCCGGCUAAAGACUUGGGGGCUGACUGGAGGGAGCCAAUAAAGCACUACAUUAUGACAGGCAAGCUCCCAAAGAAUAAAUGGCAGGCCAGAAAAAUGAGAAUCGUUAGCGCGAAAUUUUGUCUGUCAAAAGACACAUUGUAUAGACGAGGUGUCAGUGACCCUUACCUAUUAUGCAUUUUUGGGUCCGAAGUCGAAAUCGUUAUGAGCGAAGUGCACGAAGGAUUAUGUGGGAGUCAUUCAUCAGGAAGGGCUAUGGCUUUUAAAGUUAAAAGAAUGGGAUAUUAUUGGCCCACUAUGAUCACAGAUUGUGUUAAGUUCGCCCAAAGAUGCAAGCGCUGCCAACUCCAUGCACCAUUGAUCCAUCAACCGUCGGAAUUAUUCUCCUCCAUUUCCGCCCCAUACCCGUUUAUGAGGUGGUCAAUGGACAUCAUUGGACCAUUGCACAAGUCAACUCGAGGUGUACAAUACCUUUUAGUCCUUACGGACUACUUUUCGAAAUGGAUUGAAGCUGAGGCGUAUGUUGGUAUCAAGGAUUCGGCGGUGAAGACCUUUAUUUGGAAAAACAUUAUAUGUCGACAUGGAGUUCCGUACGAAAUAGUCACUGAUAAUGGACCACAAUUCAUUUCACACGAGUUUGAUGCCUUUUGUGCGGACUGGGGAAUCAAAGUUAGUUAUUCUACUCCACGAUAUCCGCAAGGAAACGGUCAAGCUGAAGCCGCGAACAAGACGAUAUUGAGCAAUCUCAAGAAACGCUUAAAUCAUCUAAAGGGAGGAUGGUAUGAAGAACUCCAACCCGUCCUAUGGGCCUAUCGCACAACCCCUAGGCGACCUACAGGAGAAACUCCAUUCUCUUUGGUUUAUGGCAUGGAGGCGGUAGUACCAGUUGAACUCAAUGUUCCCGGACUUCGCCGAACAGAAGCACCGUUAAACGAGGAAGAAAAUUCAGCAAUGCUUAAUGAUUCACUAGAUACCAUAAAUGAAAGGCGUGAUCAAGCUUUGAUUCGGAUCCAGAAUUACCAGCAGGCAGCAGCCCGGUAUUAUAAUUCUAAGGUUAAAAGUAGGCCUUUCUUCGUGGGAAAUUAUGUAUUAAGGCGCGUCUUUGACAACAAAAAAGAAGAAGGUGCCGGUAAACUCGGUAUUAAUUGGGAAGGACCUUACAUUAUUACCGAAGUGGUUCGGAACGGUGUUUAUAGGUUGAAAGACUUAGAAGACAAUCCAGUCAAGCGACCUUGGAAUGUGAUUAACCUAAAGAAGUUUUAUGUUUAAAGCUACAUGCAUUGUUUAUGUACAUGAACUACGGUGUGGCUUGAUCCCGAAAUGGGUACGUAGGCAGCUCAGAAACGAGUUCAGCUAUUAAUAAAAAUUUGUUUUAUUUCUUUAUUAAAGGAAAAAGGUUCGACUGUGCGAACAAGUGAAGCAAAUAAAGGUUCGGCUAUGCGAACAUACAAGAGGUUGGAAAUAGAGCGUUUAUUCAAAAGAUGGAAUGUCCCUCAUCGUACACUUCGGACUAUGAAAAUCUUGUUGACGAGCAGAACACUUCAACUCCUUGACCAGCAAGAUCGAGGAUUGGCAUCAUGCAGUCCGGAACUCGAGGAAAGUCAGAGAUUCCAAGCUCAAUCCACUCUCCGGGGUGAGAUUCAAGGAUGUGAAGAUCUCUUGACACCGUAGUAAGCCUGCGUUGCAUCCGGUUAAUCCUCUUCCGGAGUCUCCUCUUUUCCAAUGAAAGCUUCCGAUGCUGAAGCGUGAGUGCCUCUAUGAAUGCCAUCGCUGUUCCUUGGUCAAUGGGGAGAUCCCUGAUCAGAGCACAUGGAGCUUGGAUCUGAGAUCUGAAGAAGCCGCGAGGUGGAGGAGUUUGCCUGUUUGGCUCAUUUGGAACGUCUUCGUUUAUCAUUCCGAUUCUGGAGAAGUCGGGCAUAGAUUCUGAACAGCGAAGAUUGAACUCCAUACCUACUAAAAUGAAAAGAAUGGUGAGGAGUAAAGGGAAAUUGAGACUAUAAUUUAUAGGAACGUCAUAUCCCUAGCAAGCUGCGGAUUCUAUCCUAGGAAUGGAGUGAUUCGCGGAGAGAUUUAUGCCCUCGAACAGAUCCUGCAUUAAAAGACGCAUCUCCGAGAAUAUUUGAAAAGUAAGGAAAAUUGCAAAUGUUUCCAUAAAUAAAAAGGGGCCGAAGCCCAUUACGAGUUCAAAAUAAGUGAAGAAGUUAGAGAACAUUUAUGGAAGAGGCUCAGGAACAGGCUCCUUCAUCGCCGGUUUAAUCUUCGAAGUGGACGCCUUGUUCUUGGCAUCCACUUCGGGAUGAUCCCGAACGCGUUUCCGACAGGUGCUGGCCUCCUCCUCAUCUUCUUCCUCGCUAUCAGAUGGAACGGUAUGGACCGGAGCAUUCACAGGACCCGGAACUCCUCUAGCACGGAGAUACAUCCGAAGCAUCUUCGGGAUCUCAGCAACAGAAUCGAAGUUCCGCCAUUCCCAUUGAAAGGGGUCACUUUCCAAAGCCCGUAUUUUCCUCUCCACCCGAGCAAUGCGAGCUUCGAGUGUUUGCCUUUUGAGGCCUAGCCGCUGUCUCUCUUCGCACAAGCGACGGUGUUUGUCGGCGACCUAGCAUAAAGACGAAUGAAUAAGAAGAAACAGAAAAUUUUUAAUCAAAGACGACAGAUAUUAACCUUGUCAAUAAAGUCGCAAGCCUCUUUUUUCUCCUUUGAAGGAAAGUGAAAGACGGCGUGAGGGAAGAGAACGCCGGCCGGUUCAAAGCCGUCGCCGGACAAGAAGAGUGGGCUGCCGGGAUCAACGGGGGCUACUUUUUCGUUUUCCAUUCUCGUAAUAUUCCACAAGUAAGAUUCUAAAAGCGUAUUUAAAUAAAGCUUAGAGAUAGGUAAGCCUUUAUUUAUAAUGAUUUAGGGUUUGUCUUGGAACCAUAAAUCCAAUAAUGGUAGUGUGCCCGAGUGGUUUAAACCAUUUUUGGAAAAUCGAGAAAAGGCAGUUUUUGCAUUAAAGACGAGCCAUUUUCCCUACUUUUGAGAAAUAAGAAGGGAAAAAGCAACCGUCGCAUUAACUACAAAAGUUUCUAAGGCCCAAGCCCAAUAAAUUUACCGAGUUUACUAUACCCGAAGUGGGGAACUCGCUUUAAGCCGAGCUCAGUUCUCGCAUUCUUAAGAGAAAGGUCUGAUCAGCCUAAAAAAAUCUCGAAAGCAUAACCACAAGGCCACAAAGGGUUAAAAGCGGACUUUGCAAACCCUCACAUAAUUUUAACUGAACCCCCUUGGGGUCAAAACCUAGAAAGGUUUAAAAGCCUCCUCAGGCAAAUAUCUUGUUCAAAAGAAAUAAUAAAGCCUCCUUAGGCAAAGACAAGUUCGAAAUUAAGUUUUAAAAUAAAGGGACAAUUCCCAAUUUAAAGUGGACGCAGCCACUACGGAGUGAUAUCCACCUCGGACUCCGGCUCAGCAACCGAAGUUUCAUUCACCUGCUUGACUGGUGCUUGGUCGGAUGGAGCUCUUGGUCCGCCCUCUACAUUACAACCAUCCUCCGGAGUAACCGCCGGUGCCGCAGGUACUUCGGGUGGGACGACAUCCUCUGCCUCACUUGAACCUGGGAAGGACAGUUCCAGUCAACUUUUUUUAAAAAAAAACACAUAAGGUGAGAAAAAGGUAGUAAGUGUCAGGAGCCAAGCAUUACCUGCCCAGUCUAGACCCGAUUCACUUAUAUGAGGCAAUUCAGUGAAGAAUUCCUCGAAGUCCUGCGGGUUGAAGGUCGAAGUAGGAAGAGCUGCCAAGCGACUCCGCUUUUCAGAAAGAUUAGCCGACAGUUCGGUCCUCUCUUGCUCCUCGGAGAAAUCUGUAUCAUGGAUUUGAUCCAACAAGAUCAGGUUGCUCUCGUGCUCCUUAAUGUUUGAUUCCAAAUCUGACCUAGCUUUCUCGGUCUGCAUGAAUCGGAUGGCCCCUUGGAUCAACUCCAUCCCGGGUUCCUUAACCUCCUUUCUGGCUUUUGAUGCCGACCUCGCUAACUCGGAGUUACGCAAUUUGGCAAUCGCCUUGUACUUCGCGUUAAGCUCAAUAAGCUGGUUGUUCAGGGUGUCGGCGGUUGAUUCGGAUUCAUGAAGUCUACCCUGAACACCAGAAAGCUCACCUUGGAGUUUGAAAUUUUGGUCGUACUGGUCCUGUAGCUCCCCCUUUAUCUUCGCAAGCUCGGACGAUAGACCAUCAACCUUGUCCUCCAAAUCAUGCUUGGAGUCGGUAGAAGAGCGGAGGUCAACCUCGAGAUUAGAAAACUUGUCCUUCCACGUGUCGAUCUCUUUCUCCCGACCAAUGACCAACCCUUCGUAAUGUUCAAUUAUGUCAUUGAGCUCGCCGUUCGCCUGAUAUUACACAUAAACCCGGAAUGACGGAUCAGUUCGAAAAAUGACGGUAAAGUCAGAAAUUGAUGCGGAACUAACCCGAGAUGAAUGAUGAGCAUGAAAUAGGUAUCGUUCACGAAUUGCAGAGCGCCACUUUCUCCAUGGCUACGAAAGCGAAAGAGGAAAGGUCUUAGAAAUUCAAAAUAAGUACAAAGACGAAAAGAAUACAUGUGUAUCGUCAUACCUGAGAGCGAUUUGAUCUGAGGAACAAGAGCAGGCUUUGUCUUCGGAGAAUCAUCUCGAGACUCAGAACUAUCCUUCUGAGAAGCUGCACCCAGGUUCGUCUUCUCACCACUACGUUGAGAAGAAGAAGACAUAUCAACAGGACGAGGCGGACCCAUUGGUUCUGUAGGAGGGGACGAUCGAGGAGAACGGUCAGUCCGGGCCCUCGACUUCUCUCUUCGCGGAGAAGAACCACUACGGGAUGACCUGUCCCUCUUUUUGCGAAUUAAAUCCUUGAGCGGUUCGUUGCUAAAGUCAUCCCGGGAGGAACGAUGAGAAUCACGGUUAGGAGAUUGAAGCCUCCGGGGAGGACGGUCAUCGUGACGUUCACGUUGAGGUGUCAAUCUGAAAACGGCGAUGGAUCUGGCUCCUUCGGUGCUACCGUCGUCAACCAAUAAGGUUUUGCUAUAAUCUUUUUUGUCAAUGGCGGUCGCAAGGAACGCCUUUUUCUCGUCGCAAGCCUCAACCAUCGGCUUGGAGAUUACUUUUCGCUGGGCAGUGAGAGCUCGAGCUGACAUUCCCUGGGUUGAGGGAGGAGGCGGAAGACGAUGAAGAUGGUUGGGAGGGCUCAUCCUGAGUUUUCGAUUGGCUUCUAUGAACCGAUCGAGAGUGAAAGAAUUCCAAAGGGUUUCCCCUUCGAGGAUUAUUUUGAAGAAGCCAAUGAAUUCUUCAGUUGGUAAAGUCGGAGCGACGAAAGCUGCAAAGUGAAAAUAACAAGUUUAAUCAAUAGGAAUAAUAAAAUUAGAGGAAUGUAUGCGACCUAAUUUCUACCAGGUUUCGCGGACCACUUCGAUGGAAGUAAAUCUGAUAGACUUCCAAUCGAAGCAGGGGUUUUCUUAAUCAGGAACCAAGGGUGAUGCCAAUUUUCAUCCUUGUUUGGAAGAUGCGAAAUGACGUUCCUGUUAGCAUUAGGGUAUGCCGAGAAAUACCCUGCCUUCUUCGAUGAACUUCUCACGCUUAGAAGCUCAUUCAACUCGGGGACCCCUAUAAUGUAUCCGGCUUCCGCCGCUACUGUUAUAAUUCCAAGUAUGGUUCGGAGAAGAUUGGGGGUCAAUUGAGGAAGAGCGAUCUCGAGAACCGCCAAGUACCGAACUAGGGCUUCGGGAAGCGGGAAGGUUAAUCCGCAACCCUUGAAAUAAAUCUCGUACACACAGAAUUAACCAUCGCGAUGGUUCUCUGGGGAUUCUGUGGGAGCAGCUAUUUGUGCUUCCGCCAUAAUUUCCGGCGGAAUCCGGCAAAGCUCUCUCAACCGCUCGAGGGAUUGAAGAGUACAAGUGGAUCUAUAGUGCGGACCGGCAAUAUCAUUAGGGCGAGUGCACUCGUCAUUACUAGGGCGCCUAUCGUCGAAUGACGGAGAUUCGGGUCUUUCAGAAUCAGAAGUCAUUGGGAAAAUGGAAGGUUCGAGAUCCGACGAAGAGAAAUUUGGCAAAGGAAAAGAAGAGAGAAGUUUCGAAUAAAGUGCAAAUGAAAAAGUAGAAAAUGAUGAUGAAAAGAAGUUACCUUACACAAGCUAAAUGAUGGAACCGCCUCGGAAGUUGUGUGGGAAGUGGGAAGGUUUUUUCCGUUUUAAUAGUAAUUAAUUAAUAUACGGUCAUAAUGAUGACAGAUGUCACUUGGGUAAAAAUGGCUAGUGCCGAAAUUAAAGGAGUGAUGAGAUUUUCGGCGGGAAAUCAGAAAGAUUCUCGAGCGCAAUCUUUGGUCAUUUAAGCAUUUAAAGUCCUCCGAAUUGGAAUGGCACUUCGAAGAACUUGGGGGGCUAAUUGUUGGUGUCGGAUCCCGCACCAGAGGUCCAGGACCAACCAAAGAUUGCCACGUAGUCAGGGUAGCGGCCCGUAAAGGAUAAAGCCCAUCAGACCCACGAGUCAAAAGAACAAUCGAAGUGGUAACCACCAUAAGGAGAAUUCGAAGUGACUGCACCUCGACACGAGUCCGGAGACGAGGUCAUGGUUUAGUCGGUCCAAGGACAUUUGGGCCGAAAGGCGAGGCCCAUAGAGAUCGGAGUCAACUCAAAUUUAAACGUUGAGCAUUAAAGUCAAGGAAUCAAAACGGACACAUUUAAGAGGGAAUAAUUGUACUUAAUUAUUCAUUUUAAUGUCGUUUCUCUAUGUAUAAAUAUAAAGGUCAAUGGCCAUGUAAAAGGGGAUCUUCUUCUGGAGAAAAGAAAUAAUAUAGCAAUUUUCGUAGCAAUUUAUAAAUUUUUACAUAUUCAUUUUUGUCCCUCAAGAGUAAUCUUUCCUACUUAAUAGAAAUACUUGAGUGUGUGAAUCCGACUUCCACAAUAGGUGCAUGGUUCUGGAUACUUUUUGAUAGCACAAAUGUAAGCAGUAAACUCUUCAGACAAUUGAGCAUAAUUAACAUAUGCUGAGAUAGGGUACCUUAUAUCCUUCAUCACAUCAGGUACAACAUUGCAGUGAUAGUCUUGGAGAUAUCCUGGAGGUCGACUUGCUCUCUUUGUAGACUCUGAUUUAUUUUUAAUCUUUGUAGGUGCAAUAACUUCAACUGCAGGUGAAACAUCACUAGAAACACCACUAGAAACUGAUGUAGGUGUGACAUCACUAGUAACAGGUGAAGCAGGUGCAAUACUUGUAGGAGCAGAAUCAAUCUCAUCAAAAACAUCAGAAGUCAAUCCUCGUAUAUCAGCAAAAGGAAAAACCGUUUGGAAGAACACAACAUGUCUAGAUAUGUGAACUGUAUUAGUCUCAAUAUCCAAGAGCUUGUAACCUUUGUAGCCCGCAGGGUAACCCAAGAAAACACACGCCUUUGCUCGUGGCUCGAAUUUAUGUCUCUGUUGAGUACUAGUUGACUGAUAACAGAGUGAACCAAAAACUUUCAGGUGUGAAUAAUCAGGUACCUUGGAAUGAAGCAGCUCAAAAGGUGUCUUCUGUGAUAGUAGAGGAGAGGGUAAUCAGUUGAUUAAGAAGACUGCUGACAAGAUACAAUCACCCCAAUAUUCCAGUGGUACACAAGACUGAAACAUGAGUGCCCUUGCAACAUUCAAUAUAUGUUGAUGCUUCCUCUCUACUACCGAGUUUUGUUGAGGCGUCUCAGGACAUGAAUGGUAUGAAACAAUGCCUCUCUCCUUAUAAAGCUUGUCAAACUUCAACUCAGGUGCAUUGUCUGAUCUUACAGCCUUGACACAAGUCUGAAACUGGGUUUGAACCAUCUGAAUAAAGUCUGGAAAUAUUGUUAAAACUUCAUUCUUGGUCUUCAUGAGAAAAACCCAAGUAGCACGACUAUAGUCAUCAACGACUGUUAAGAAGUACCUGUAUCCUUCUACAGUGGGAGUGUUAAAAGGUCCCCAAGUAUCAAUAUGAAUAAGAUCAAAAAUAUGAGUAGACAUGUUAUUCUUGGAAGGAAAAGAUAAGUGCUUCUGUUUAGCUUUCUGGCAAAUAGAGCAAUGAACUGUCUCAUCUUUAUUCCUUUUAUUAAUUCCAAGAGUAGCGUGUAAUACAUCAAUCUUUUCAUAUGAUGGGUGCCCUAAACGACUGUGCCAUAAAGCACUAUCAACAAUAACAGAGACUUGUGGAUUAGAAGAGACAGAUGGUAAACUAUCUGAACUAGUACAUUCAUCAGAACUAGCUUCAAGGACAUACAAGCCUCCAAUCUCUUUACCUUCUCCAAUUAUCAGCUUCUUGGUAUGAUCCUGGAUUAUACAACAAUCCUCAUCAAAGGAAACUCUUGAUUUCAUUGAUUUUGCAAGUUGACUGACGCUUAGAAGAUUAAGUCAAAAUUCUGGAAUAUAUAACACAUUAGUCAAAGUAAUGUGUCUAUUCAACUUAAUUACUCUUAUGCCUGCAAUUUUGACAUUACUGCCAGUAGGAAGAGUAACAACACUACUUAGACCAUCAGAUAGGCUCUCAAACAAGUUCUUAUCAUAUGAAACAUGAUGUGAAGCACCACUAUCUAUGAUCCAAGUACUACUGGUUAAAACUUUCCUAGAGGCUGUCAUAACACACAUAAACCAAAGAGUAGAGGGAGAGAAAGAGAUACCAGUUAACGCAGAACCAUCAACAUCACUAGUAGAAGCAAUAGAUGCAACAGUGACUGGUUGUGCGGAAUUGUGAAGUUGAGUACUGAAGUACAAUCACAUCUUGAAUCUGGUUCUUUGACAUAUUCCCAAUAAGUUCUGCAAUCCCAUUUGGUCCAAUACCGGUGUUAGUUGUUGCUGUGCCAUCAGUCAAGGCAAGAUUAGCAACCACUGGUUUGAAUUUAUCCACUGAGACCUUUCCUUCAGAUUUCUGUUUGUUUUUAAAGCCAAUUAGGUAUCCGUGUAUCUUAUAACAAGUAUCCACACUGUGUCCAGUAUAUCCACAAUGAGCACACUGAAUCUUAUUUGGAACACCCUUAGGAUUAGGCUGAUAAGUAGACUUUGCAGCAUUUACUGUAAACUGUGCACUCGAAGAAGUAACCUGAAAUGCAGAAGCAUUAUUUGGAAUUGUAGCAAUGUUGCGCUGACUGUGAUCUUGAUCCAAUAAGUUGUAGGUUUCUGCAAGAUCCGGAAUUGUCUUCUUCAUAAUAAUCUGACUCCAGAUGGUUGAAUAAGAUUCAUUCAAGCCUGCAAGAAACUUAACAAUCUUGGCAUUAUCAGCUAUUGAAGCAGUAGCAGUACAACAUUUGCAGUUUUGACAUGUCUUGACACAAGUAGCACCAUCAAGAUCAUCCCAUAAAGUCUUCAAAGCUGUAUAGUAAUCGGAAAGACUCAUUGAUCCUUGUUGUAGAUUCUAGAUUUGUUGAGUCAAUUGAUAGGAUCUUGGUAGAUUAGUAAUGUGAAAUCGAGAUAUCAAAUCUUUCCAGAUUUCUGCAGCAUCAUUAAAUCGGAGAAUACUCUUGUAGAUUUGUUUGGUGACAGAAUUAAAGAUCCAAGACUUAACCAUACUGUUACAACGUGACCAUACUCGAAAGCUAGGAUCAAAUUCAGGAGGUCUUGGUAGUGUACCAUCAACAAACGCAAUUUUAUUCUUAGCAUCUAAGGCAACAAACAUCGCAAUUUUCCAAGAAGAGAAGUUUGAUCCAUCAAGUACCUCAGAACCAAGAGUUGCUCCCGGAUUAUCACCAUUUUAUAACGCAUACGGUGAAUAAUGUGAAUCCAUGAAGUCGAACUGUGGAAUUUGAUGAAUCGGUGCUCUUGGAGCGAAGUUUGGUUGAAACGGAGAAGAAUUUUGUGGAAUCGGUGGAAUCGGGGAAGAAAUCGGUGGAAUCGGUGGAAUCGGGGAAGAAAUCGGGGAAGAUGAAGCUCGAAUCGGAGUCUUUUCAGCUGAAUCUUUGCUCGAUCUUCUUGUACAACGCCGUAAUCUUUGAACGGAAACCAUCGCAAGAUCUGAAGCUUUCUCUGCUGAAUUUGAUAAGAUCCGAUCGACGAAAAACGAAGAAAUCACAGAGUUCUAUGGAAGAGAAGCUCUGAGAUCCGAGAAUCGGUUGAGUUUUCGUACUCAACGCUCUGAUACCAUAAUAGUUGAUGAGAGAAUCGAAGAACAAACGAAGAAGAAAGUGAAGAUUCUGUUAUAUCUCAUAAAACGUUUGUUACAACAAUGAUUUCUAUUUAUAGUCUAGUGCUCCGGUUAUCACAUUCUGAUUCCCGGUUUACACAAACCAUAUCUCUAUACCAAUAUGAGUUAUGGUUCUUUAUAAUUUCAAACAUGUUUGGCGUUUGGGGGACAAGUUUGCUUUCACAACCGUAUUGAAGAUGAAUGAUGUUAGAAUCUUUAUUUUGUCGAUGUUUUGUGCUCUGUUUUAUGCAAUUUUGCUUAUGAGUUAUGAUUCUUUAUCAUUAUCAUGCGGGUGUAUUUGACUUACUAUGGUUAUUACUUAAUAAAGUAUUGAUGACGAACAAAAUGUAGAUGCGUUCUUGGUCGAUUUAUGUGUCGGAGAAUUGGAGACUCUUGAAGCUCCUCCCCAAGAUAUACCUUUUUGCUAGUUUCAGUGAAACGAAAGUUUGGUUUUGAUUUUGUUAGUGCAUUGGAUAAAUGUAUUCUUAAAGAUAAAUCUCGUUUCCUUUUCUGUAGACAACAUGUGUUUAGUGCCGAACAUAUACAUGCAAUAUUUUUCUCACUUAUAUAGUUACUAUGUUGCAUUAAAUUAUGCCUCAAUCAUGUUUGUUUUGACAGAGAAGAUGCAAUCUUGAGAAAUCUCUCCCAAAUAUUCGUGAAAUCGAUGAGAAAUAUACAGAAUCAUCAUAUAUUUACAGAAUUUUAUCUGCAUUAUUUUUAGAUGGCCAAAAGAAAUUUUAUGCAUAAUGAUAGAUGUUGAAUUUAAUCGUUACAUGGUUUUGGCAUGUCUAAGCUGCAAAGACGCAACUUGAUUGAGGAAAUGCAAGAAAUAAAAAUAGUUCAUCACACCUAAUAUAUAUGCCCUAAUGAACUAACCAACAUACAAAUCCAAUAUCAUAGCCAAAGAUUUAACAUCCAUAAUUCUCUAGCUCAUAGACAAAGCAAAUUAACCAUUUGAAUUGAACCAAUCUUUCAAUAGAAAUGGAUGCACACUUCAAAUAUUCAAGCAAAAUGAAAGAAAUUGAGAAACACUUGCAAACAAGUCUGAAUUUACAUAAACACACAAAUCAGAGAAAAAAUAAAAAGUAAUCAAGUUUGCGAAAAGGGAUGUGUCAUGUGUGAUGUCGCAGUUUCGUGGGACGAAGCCUAAAACAUUUUAAAAAAAAAACUCUUGAGCAUGUGAUAGUUAAACAAUAACAAUCACAUAGAUGUAAUAGUAAUAAAAAAAAAACUGACCUCUUUCUUAACUUGGGUAAAACCGCUCCUUAGUCGCUUGGUCUCUCCAUUUCACUUUUUCCAGCCAUUCUUUUUCUGCGUUCAUGAUGACAUUUUGCGACUGAGCGCUCUCGGAAUUGAUAGGAAGUCUUGUUAACAAUGGACAACCUUUAAUGUUGAUUUCCUUAAGGUUGGGAAAAGGCAACGGACCCCUGUAGAUGCUACGGAGUUUAACCAAAUUCCUCAGUGUAAGGAACUCUAGUGCUCUAAAAGGUAGUAGUCUAUAAGGUUGUCUGUUUCGAAGUGACUUAGACAUCAAAGGAAACUCAUCAUAUCGAUCUAUUAUGGCAUGUAUGUCAGGUAACCAUACCAAGUAUAAAACAGCAAGAUGAGGAGCAUAUAAAAGACAUGUCAAAUCCCGUAGACUAGUACAGUUGUCUAAUCUCACUUCGCGUAGACUGAAAAAAUUUAUAUUGCUACAAUACUCUGAAGCAGGUUUCAGCAAAUGAACAUAUUCAUCAUCACUAUCGUUGUUUGGCAAUUUUAUCUCUAACUUCGGUAUAUUUGAGUCUAGUAUCUCCAAAACACGACUACUUGAAAUCAUCCCAAUAGGUACAAUGAGUACACUUGAUUGAUUGCUGAGAUGUAAUUGUUGGUUGUAGCUAUUGAGCUUCUCAUCUUUAAGAUAACUUUCCAAACCAGAUGAACCUCUCAAGGUUAUUGUCAACUGAUAUAAAUGCUCCAAGCGUUGUAUCUCCUUAACCACGUUGUCAUUAGUAUCUAUUCCAGAACCAUACAAUCUCAAAACUUGUAGACUCGACAAAGACGAUAUCCCAUCGAUCUUUUUCAGCAUGUAUGUAUGCUCCAAAUUCAAGUAUAUCAGUUUAUUGAGCUCAUAUAACCCAUUUGGAAGAUCUUUUAACCCCGUGCAUGAUAGGUUUAAGUACCUUAACGAGACCAAAUUUGAAAUGUUAGGCAACCUUGUAAGGUUUGCAUUCAAAGAAAGAUCUAAAACUUUGAGAAUCGGAACGCAGUAGAAAAAGUCUUGUGAGAUAUUCCUUAGUUUAUUAUCUCGAAGAAGUACGGUAUCGAGGUUGGGACAAUCAAGACUCACGCAUGCCUCCUCAAUUUGAUUAGAUAUUAAGGAUAUGCUACUAAUAGCUUCCUGGUCCUUAAUCUUCGGAAUUUUACGAGCAUUUUCUUCGACGGCAACAAGCUUCUCUUGAGGCCCACCAAAACCUAAUGGUAUCCACAACGCCAUAUCCCGUAUCACAUCAUGCAUCUUCACUUUAUCUUUGGAUUCACUCUCAAUCAAUAAACACGCAUUUUUGAGAGCUUCUAUGAUUGUAUACCCUUCAUAAUUAAGUUUAGUCCCACCUAUUAGCUCAUGGCCUACCCAAUAGUCUAUCAAAUCAUCUUUUCCUAUUUCGUAAUCCUCGGGACACAAACCACAAAAUAGGAAGCAUUUCUUGGUUUUCUCAUCGGCUAAGUCGUCGUAGCUAAAUUUCAAAAUGGAAAGAAUCUCGGCUUCCAUACCUGAGAACUGAGCAGCAGAUGAAGACAAAACAUUAGCUGCGUGAUGCCACUCUUCAACUGUCUUCUUGCGUGCCAUGACUUCGCCAAUUACAUUGAGAGCGAGUGGCAAGCCUUUACACUUUUUCGCAACUGAUCUUGCGACUUCAAGAAUAUCUGGAUGACUUUUUAUUGUUUCUUCCAUAUUUUUAGUGAACAAAUUCCAAGCAUCAUCCCACAUCAUACAUGUUACCUCUAUCUCCUUAUCUACCCCCAUUCUUCCGCAAACUUCAUUAGAACGAGUGGUGAAUACUAUUUUACUUCCAUUUCUUCUUGGAACCGGAACUCCAAUGCUUGCUAAAUCCACCUUCCUCCACAUAUCAUCCAACAAUAACACAUAUCUCUUGGUCUUUAGAGACUUGUUUAUAUCACACGCUUUCUCAUUUUCUGUUUUCCUUUCCCAGUUUUCAUCGUAGAUCUCUAGUCUUUUGCCAAUAUCUUCUUGAAUCCUCUUAACCGUUGUGUUGUUAGACACCACAACCCAUAUUACAAUGUCAAAUUGGUUGCUUUCUAUGAGAAACUUGUUGUUGAUUUGAGAGAGGAGUGUGGUCUUGCCCACUCCCCCCAUGCCAUAAAUACCCAAAAUCCCAACUCCGUCCUCCAUGAUACUAUUCCAGGUUGAUUCAAUCAAUUCCUCUUGACCAAAUAUCUUCUGGUGGAAAAGCCUCUCCUCCACCUUUUGUAUAGGACCUCUUUGAGUUACUUCAUCAAAAACUCCUCUAAAUAAGAGAAUCUCAGUUUCUGUCAACUGCUUGACUACCCUUUUACUAUAACCAUUUCUUGAUAUCCAAUUCUUGGAACAAUAUUGAUAACAACAUAACUUAUCUAUUUCAUCAUCGCUUUGCAAAAGUAAAUCAUGGGUUUCACGUACCGUGAUAUCAACUUCCGAAAGCCAUUCUUGGACUUCAGCUAAUCGGCUUCGGCCACCAUCUUCUUGCACUUUUACCCUUGUCAGCAAAUCAUCUCCUCUUGCUUCCAGCUGUCGUGUAGCUCGCCUCAGAGAUGCAAGAUUGUUCACAAGGUUGCGGAAGGAAUUUCCGUCCCCGCUAAUGCAGCUGGUAAGGUUAUUAAUAGCUUGGUCACAUGAUAUUGCUAUGGAAACGCAACCUCCCAUCUUUUCUAGAUCUGGCAAACUAGGGAGACAAAUCUCACAGCUUUAUGCAAAUUCCUUUCUAAUGUUUUAUUUUAUUAAUUGAGGCGUGUGCACGAUCAUUCUGGUUGACCCCAAUGACAUCUAGUUAUCUAAGACAUGAUCUUUUUUUUUUUUAAUUAAAAAAUAGAUUGUAUUGAAGUGAACAUUUUAUUUUUAUAAUGUUAACGACCUUUAAUUUAGGAUUUAACAGAGCCAAAGUUUAGUGACCAGUAACAUGUUGAUUUUGUCUUAACAAAAUUUAGAUGUGUUUUGGCUUAGCCAAGUCAAAAUUGUUAUUUACAUCUCGUUUUCCAACAAUGGUUUUCUUAUUAUUAAUGUUUUGUUAGCCAAUGGUGCUCUUAUUGGCAACCUAAAUUUUUUGUAAUGGAUGAGUUACUACCUAUCAAUCCUAGGCCUUGGACGAUGAUCCAUGACCAUAAGCAUGCUGUGAACAUUGAUAUAUCAUGGUUUUUACCGUUUUUAGCUAUGAUAUAUGUGUCAGUUUUAGAGUCUUUUUGUUAUUUCUAGAGUCUUAUCUAGUCUUUUACAGGUUUAUGCAUGUUCAGGACUAAUUUGAAGAUUAUGGAUCAUUCUGGAGCAAAACCGAAGAGUUAUACUACGAAAGCAAUCCGGAGACCAAAAUACGUGUAGGUGUCGAUCGACACCACCCCUGGUGUCGGUCGACACCAAUAUUUUACGACAAUUCAAUUUCGAGUCUCUUUGAAGUUUUGAAGAUUUGCAUAAUCGCUCCAAAACUUUUCCCUAUUUUCAAAAAAGUCCUUGCACAUUUUUAAGAACAUAUAAAUAGAUUUUUAGGGUUUUGUUUUAGAGACAUCUCUGAGAUCUUUGAUCUCUCAAUCUCUCAUUCUAUUGUAUUAUUUGGAGCUUGAACCCCUUGGGAGAUAAUUGGAGAGAGCUCCCCUCUAGAGAAGAUCUUUUUUAACUCAUCUCUUUUAUUGAAUCUCUUUAUGCUUUCUAUUCAUAACAUGCUUACUGUUACCAUGAUCAUGUCUGAGUAGUUUGCUUGUUAGGUUUAAGGAUUCUCAUUAGGGAUUUAGAUGAAUUAGUAGAUCGAUAACAUAUUAGGAUAAUAUCUUUAGAGUUCUUCAUCUUUGAUUGUUCUUAAUGCUAAUUCUAGAGUAAUUAAAUAUAAUUUGAUCCUAGGAUAAUAGGUUAGAUCCGAGAGGGCGCUUAUUACUGGAACUAUCUUAGGUGGGCAGAAAUAGCUAGAUUUAGACGAGAGUUGGUCUAGAUACUUUUGUGAACAUAUCGAACCUGAUCUUUAAUGCUCGUUUAGUUUUAGGGAUUUACAGACGAGAGUUGCAAUUCAUGCUAAUAGGCAUAGAUAGUCAAUUUAGACGAGAGUUGGUUGAUUAUAGUUUUGUGAUUCGAGUUCAAGAACGGUUCUUAAAUAAUUCCUAAUUAAUUGCUAGAUCUACUAUUUAUCUAUUUUCUGAGAAUUUCCCUAGGCCUCACGUUUUCCUCAUUUGAUUUAAAACCCAAUUUUAGUUGCUUACUUUAUUUUUAAUAUUCUUAUUUUCUGUUUAGCUUAAUUUAAAACAUGUUUGUUUAUUGUGUGAACACGAGAGUUUUGUAGAUUUCGACCCUAAAAUACUACACACGAUCUCUUAUUUGAAAGAGUAGUCUUAGAUCUAAUUUGACUCACAUCAAACAUAUUCAUCAUAUUAAUGAGAAUAGAGAGAAGCCAAAACUUACAUAGCUCUUCUCACAGUCGUCGAAGAAAAGAGAGACAAUUACAAAAUUAGUGUUGCCUUCAUCUUGUAGCCAUUUCAACUAAAAGAAUUGAUCGCCCAAAUAAUCUUCAUAAAGCAAAAAAUAAUCAAGCACUCGUUACAACGAAGAAAACCUAUUAGUAAGUAAUUUAUCGAAACGUCCACUCUAUAAACUUUAACCAAUAAGAAAGUCAUACUGGUCUAAAUAACCAUCCAAAUUUGGAGAAAUCUUUUUAGAAAUCUUUUUUAAGAUGAUAUAUAUUGAUGUUAUUUUAUAUUUAUUUAAAUAUGUUAACUUCAUUAGGGGAAAACGGCCAAUAGCAAUCCCAACUAUUUCCUUGCGGCCUUGAUAAGUGCAGGGGGUCAGAGUUUAGGUUGAAAAAUGUCGCACGAAAAUAGUUGGAGUUGAUUUUGGCCGUUUGUGUACUUGAUGAUAAAUUUAUAUUUACAUUCAUCAAAUCAAAAAUUGUUACAAACUACCUAUUUUUACAAAUUUAUCUCCAUCCAAUAUCAAUCUUCAUAUUACUUUUCAAAAACUCCCUAUUUUGCCAACAGACCUUAAAAUUAUAACUUUAAAAUUUUAACCCUUAUUAUAAUAGUAGGUUGACUCUAUAGUAUAUGUUUUGAUCAUGUAUUAACAUUUUCAAAAUCUUUGACCAACAUAUUAAGCAUUUAUAUACAUUCUAAAAUAUUGUAAGCAAACAAGGAAUAUUGGUAUAUAAUAAAGAGGUAAAUAUUUAAAAGAAAAAAGACUUACAUCAAGAUAAUAAAUUUUCAGUUGAAAUAAACUUUACUUUAAAAAAUCAUCACUUAUCAAAACAUAAAAAAUUUAAACUAUAUUUUGACUUUUUACUAAAUAUAGGAAAAACUAUUUAACAAUUAUUAACAAUAUUUCGGAAUAAAAAAUCGUUUCUUGGUAAUGGAGCUUGUGUUUUUAGCACAUAGUGUAUGAAAUUUGAGAAAUCAGUUUUGUUGAUGUCAUGCAACAUACUCAUUACAGAAUACAAAAAUAGUAUAGUGCGGCUUAUACCUAUCGACCAUGAGUUCUGUUUCUACAAUGAUGUAAAGAUUUUGGUUUUCUUGGCGUUAUUCGCUUCUAUCCUUUGAAAGUAUUGUUUACCAUGAUCUCUUCUUUUUGCAGUAAAACCUAGUGAAAUUCUGUUGGUCGGACAAUGAUUAGAUAUGUAGUGUGAGUUUACUGCUGCUUUCUCCCCAUGUUUUCUCAGCUACGUGGAAGGUCUCAGCCCUAAAAGGGACAUCCAAUUUCUUAGCCGUUGUGGCUGGGAGGCUGGACCCGAAUUUUCAGCUCUGUUCCAUCUUUACCUCUCUCUAAUCUGCAAUAUAAGAAAAUCUGCAUUGUCAAGAACCCCAUUAGAUAUCUCAAAUAUAGUAUUUUAUUCAUUUAAAUUUUGAAUUAUAAAGAAAAAACUAAACUAAUAAUAUGAUGACAAGUGGGCAUCUAAAAGAGUUUUCAAAAGUUCUCAUUUGAGAAAAGUUACUAAGUAUUUUUCUCCUGUUUUUCAUUAUUUUAAUAUUUUAAUGGUUGAAAACUCCAUGUAUUUUGAUGGAGGUGCCAAAAAAAUAUCAUCAAACCUAAUAUAAGUAUAAUUUUUUUAAUAUCAUACACAAAGCAAAAAAAAAUCUACACAAGUAGUUACACAUAUGUAUACCUAAUGGUAGAGACCUCAAUAAUACCCUUCUUAUAUUUUCUAUACAAGUCCAGAACAUUUAAAAAUGAUAUGUAUGCAGGAUCAUCAUCGAAAUUUUGUCUAUAGAUAAAUAAUGUUAUUUAAGAGAAAGUGGCAAAAACAAAAAAGAAUGUAGGGCUAGAAAUGAUUUUUUUUAUCAUAAAUUGGGAGAAGCAUAAAUAAAUAAAAAUAGAAUCAUAAACAAAAUUUUCAACCCUAUAUUUUACCCAAAAAUAGUGCACAUACCUUGUACUUUGGACCUUGUGAAUAAAAUCGCAUCGUUAAAAUUAACAAAUAUCUUUGUUAGAGUUUGGUCAUCCUCAAGUGUAUCUCAUAACCUUAUAAUAAAAAUGUAUUGAAAUCCAAUAGCUGCUUUUGUUCAUUCACUCAUAUGAUGACAUUAUUAGUUCCAAUUCUACCAUGAAAUAUAAUCAAAUUCAGUUUCCCAAAAACAAAAUCAUAAUUAAAAGCUGAAAUAUUAUGAAAUAGCAUAACCCAUAAUUAUAAGAGAGGAGAGAAUCCUCCGAACUUUGAAAUCCUUCAAAAUCUUAAAAAACAAAUUAAAUUGUUUUAUUUUGAAAUUUAAUCUCCAUAGUCUCUAGAUACUUACGUGCAACAGUUAAAGUUAGCAUCGACGCGACAAUGGUUUGAAAUCUGCUAGAACUUUAUUGCCCUAAAAAAAAUAGAUCAAUGUUGGUCUCCCAACAUUAACAACAUUACAACAAUGAAAAUCAACCACAAGUCUGAAUAAAUAAAUUCAAAACUAUAUAUAUAUAUAUAUAUAUAUAUAUAUAUAUAUAUUUAUAUUCAAAUAAUCAAACCUGAAAUCACCUCAAAUAGUCAACAAACUUUGUUGGUUGAGUUUAUAUCAUCUUGAAAUGUUUUCUCAACCCUUAGGUAAGAAUCUAUUGAAACUCAAAAGCAGUUCGCGUUUUAUCUUGAAGAAGAGUUAUUUCACUCUUAAUAUUACGCUAUUUUUUCUUUUCUCAUAUAUCAAUAGCAACUCGCAAGCGCACAAUAAAAUUUUCAAAACUAAUUAUAUAUAAAUUUAUAAAUUUUGAAACUUGAAAUUAAUCCAAAAAACAAACAAGCAUCAUAUACAGUAACCCGAAAACUAUCAUGGAGGAUAUUGCAAUAUAUAUAAUCAAAAACGAUAAACCAAAAUUUGAGCCUAACUUAAUCCUAAUAUUAUUUUACAUUAUAUUUUGUAAAUGAAUAAAAUUCUCAUAACAAAAUACAAAAGAAAAACAAUAGGAUAAGGAAAAAAAAAAGGGUCAUCAGAUAGUUGUUGAAUCUUGUUGAAACUUAAGUAAUGAUUGCAUCAGAUCGUAAGCCAUCCAAAGAGUGGAGAAGGUGAUCCUAGCUUCUACCAUAUUAUAGGCACCAACACAUGCCUAAAGAACUAAGGGAACUAAUGAGGAGUUCAACAGAAUCAAGGAAAACCGCACAUGAAGAGAUUCUACUCGCCUAUGCAUAUGAGCUCAGAUAUGUAGUCCAUAACCUACAUAUGAAUCGGUCCAAUCCUCUGCCACCUUGGCCUCGUUUAAUGGACCUUUCAAGAAUCUAGAUAGCUGGAGACCCAAGAUGGAUUAGGAGAGGCCAUCUCAUUAACACCGAAUCAAGCCCAUUUGCACAAUUUUUUUUUAUAUAAACCUAAAUAAGAAAAUUGCCAUCUUCAUCUGUAAAACUUUUUUCUAGAAAAUUUGUAACUCUAGCUAGAACAUAGGGGUUCAAACAUCUAGAUAGAAGGUUCUACAAAGCCCUCUGUAGAACCUCUGUUUCAAAAUGUAAGACGUUUUGAAGUAUUAUUUUUGUUUCAAAAUAUAAAACGUUUUCAAGUUUCUAUGCAAAUUAUAUAUUAAUUUAAUAUUUUUUAUGAUUUAUAUUAUGUAGUCUCAUUCAUGAUUGGUUGAACUUUUUAAAAGUAGAUAUUUCUUAAUCUGCAUACUUUUAACUAAAACGUCUUAUAUUUUGAAACGGAGGGAGUAUGUAUUUAUAGGAUUUGAGAAGCGCAUCUAGCCUAGUAGGUCACCAUUAGUUGUCGUCUCUUCUCAUAUAGUUUGAAUAUAGAAAAGAGAUAACUGGGUGAGAGACUAACGAUCCAGUUGAAAUUAAAUUUUCGGUAUUAUGUUUUCAAGGCCCAAGGCAACAAUAAUUUUAGCCCUUUUUUGCCAACUUUAACCCCAAGCACUAGAGAAAAUCUGUCCAAACAAUAAACAGUAUAUAUUGUAUCUGACGCUUGGGUUAACUUUAUCUCUCUUCUUCUACAUCUCUGUAAACGCUAAGUUUCAUCUUCUUCCCAUCUGGAUUUCUUCUGUUCGUAUCUGAUUUGGAGAAGUAGAAAAACACCGCUGUUGCGUUUAGUUUUUCGUUGAGAUUACCUAUCUAUUUUAGUAAACCGGUGGAAGAUAAGACCGCAAAUGCUUGUUAAUAUCUUGAACCGUUUCUAAAUCUUAAUUUUUUUUAAUCAAUUUCGUUUGUUCAUGCGUUAUGAUCCAUCAUUGUCUCAUCUUUUCACUCAAUCUUCGUCUUUUGAUUUCUGAAGCUUUUUUUCUAAAUUUUCUUAUACCCUUUUUCCGAUCCACUUGUAUCUCUACUUGUUUUUGUUAGAUUCUUUUUAGACAUCCACUACUUCUCGUAGAUCUCCAUUUAUUAGGAUAUGAUGAUUGUAAUAUAUAUAUUGUAGCGUGCAUACACGUAUACAAAUGUUAAUAACGCUAUAUAUUUAUGUUUACAUAUAUACAAAUGUUAAUAAAGCUCUACAUAUGUGGUUACAUGUAUAUAAAUUUUAAUAACAUUUCAUAUACAUGUUUACAUGUAUACAAAUGUUAAUAAAGCUCUAUAUAUAUGUAUUUAUAUGUACACAUAAACCGAAUUAUUAAAUAUUUUAAUUAUUUCUAACACUUUAUGUAUGUGUUUAUCUAUAUACAAAUGUCAAAAUCGUGUAAAAUAUUCAUUGGGUUUCCAUGCAACUAUGUUAGUUGUUUAAAAAUUCGAAGAACUAGUUAUUGGGUGUCCAUGCAACUAUGUUAGUUGUUUACAUUUUUCGAUAUUCGUCUAAAACUGCUUUUGUUACAGAUUCAAAUUUCAAAUAAAGUCAUUUGCAUUUUAUAAACCAUCACCUCAUUCUUUCUGUUAACUGAUGAAUAUUUAUCAAUUAUGUCAAUUCAACUGGGAGCAUUUAUUAAACGUCAGAUUAUUCUUUCAGAUGCUUUAGAAGGCAUAAACUUCUCCACCACACGCAUACUUUAAAAUCAAGCCUGGUUUUUUCGUUAUUAAGUCGAACUUCAUACCCAGUUAUCUUCUUUAUUUUCUUCUUGUUCCUGACGAAAUCCACUAAUGUCGAUUACCUAAUUUUAUGUCCUUUUUUUUUCUCUGCUCAAAUUCACUCUAUAGAAAAUGGGUUAUUAGACCGGCCCGUUGUGACCAAACAAACAAAAUAAAUUUGAAAAGGACAUUCUUUUAAAAGGAUUUGUCCAUAUUCAGCCUUGUUUCCAACAAUUAGUUGUCUUCGAAAUCUGUAAAUAUACUUGGAGAAAGAUACCACUAGACUUACCAUAUGAAGAUUCAAGAGAUCAUGUGGCUCCUCUCGCUAUAACCAUAUGAAGACUGAAAAGAUGCUAUGGCUCCUCUCAUUAUAACCAUACGAAAACUCAAAAGAUUAUUUGUCUCCUAUUGUUAUAACCAUACUGAUAAGCUCAAAUUUACCCUAGAGCUACUCUCCAAAUUAACUGAUAAAUUAUAAUAUUUAGGGGUCAAAUUCCACAAAUUUCUCAAUUUCAACAAUAGACUAUUAGUAUUCGAAUUAAACUAAACGAAAAUCAAGAAAACAAAUAAGAGCAAAGCAAAUUAAAAAGAGUUGUAAACGAUUGGGAAAAGAGAUAUCUCCAAAUUUGAUCUCCAAGUUCCUUUCUUCAACGCAACUUCUCGAUUUGCUCCAAAAUCUCCAAAUAAGUCUCGAAUGUACCUAAACAUGCAAAGACUCGAAAAGAAUCUAGAAACACCAAAAAUAUUCUAUAAAUAAGACUUAUAUCAUGGUUAAACACCGUAAAAAUCAUGAUACAGUAUAUCACAUACAAAGACUCAAAAUACCCUCAUACUCCUUUCAUUUGAGUGAUAAAAGUAUUUGAGUGAUCAAAGAAUCCGGCAAUGCACUGUUUCAUUCGUACCUCAUCAGAAGACACAACCCUAAAGUUUAAACCAUUGUCAAAAAAUCAUAGGUGUGACUUCUUCAAUUUCUUUCAAAUACUAGGGUUAUAAAUCAAAUUUACGUAAAGUGUAAAACUGAUGGAGUAAUCUGAAGAAUUAUCGAUUUAAUUCAUUGGAGUCUUCAAAAAAAAUUCAAGGAAUCCUCAGACUCGCGAGUAUAAUCCAUUGAGACAAAUAAACUUUAAUUUAUAAGUACUGUUUUUGUGUUCACUAGAUUUUCUUGUCACUUCGUAAAUACUAAAUACUCCCUUAAUCUCUUCUCCUUAAAGAUUGAAUUUUUAGCUUUUUCACAUUAAAAACAAUAUAUGAUUAAUUAUGGGGAAAAUAUCGAAAAAUACGCCAAUUUUUAAAUUUGGGACUAUUAAAGCAUAAAUUCUCGAAAUCUAUACUAUUAAUUGAGAAUCACUAGAAAAUAAAGAACCUUUUUGUUGUACAAUAUUACAUGAAAUGCUAUUGGUAUUUUUAAAUUUGAAAAAGAAAAAAAAAUAAUCGGAAAAUUGUAUUUGUGUCCAUUUGAUAUAUAUAUAUAUAUAUAUAUAUAUAUAUAUAUAUAUAUAUAUAUAUAUAUAUAUAUAUAAUUCCAUAAUUAAAUAAAAAAUUAAUAAAUACCCAAUAUUUAUGGAAAUUGUUUGAAGUAGUUCCCAUAAAAUUAACAAAUUAAUAACUACUCAAUAUUUAUGGAAAUCUUUUAAUAUUAAUUUCAAAAUUAUAUAUAUGUAAACUUAUUUAAUUUUGUAAUAUAUUUUGAGAUAUUUGCGGAAACAAAAAAAUCAAUUUAAUAUCAUCAUAUAUUUUAGAUUUUAAUUUAUUUAUUUAAGAAAAUAUACUAAUAAAUUCUGAUUAGCAUAGAUGGAAGAAUUUUUAAAAAAUUGUAGAUAUGUUAACUCAUUUAAUCGGGCAAGGUAAUGUUAGAUAUUUCCAGAAACGACAGUCCAAUUUAAUAUAAUUGAAAAAUAACAAAGCAUAAUUUAUUUUUGAUUUUUAAAAUUUCCAUAAUUAAACCAUACUAAUUAGUUUGAUUAGUUUAGAUGGAAGAAAUAAAAAGCGAAUUUGAUUAUUCCAACGUUUUAAGAAAAAGUUAUUAUAUUUCCCAAAUAUAAUAUUAACUAAAUAUUUUGUAUUUUGAAAUAUAGAAUAUUCCUCGAAAUAUUUCGUGAUUUGAAUGCAAUGCAUAAGCCCUAGACAAUCCAAACUUUCAUCUCAUGUUUGAUUUAUUUUUAAUUAAAUAUAAUAAUGUCAAAAAUUACUAAAUAUAUAUUAGGCUAAUAAAACUUUAUUUGUAGCCUAUAAAAUAUUUUCCACUACAUAAAAAAUAAUAUAUGUAUCACUACAUUAAAAUUGUCAGAAGACCAUGUAAUAAUAUAAUCAGUUUGAAGAUUAAUUUAAAAAAUUAUUAUUACAACAAUUAAAAAAUUAUCAUGUGUUUUCGUAUGGUUAACACACAAUUCUUUUAAAACAUUUACACACAAUUCUUCACUAACCAUAAUUUAUGUUGUCGGUUUUUAGUAUAUAUACACGUUAUCUGUUUGUUAUAACAUUAAAAUGUUCUCGUAGCUCAAUGGUUGAGUGUCUCUUAUUGGUGUAACAGGUCAGCAGCUUUGAAGAUGCAAUGUUUCCUUCUUAUUUAAAAACAAAUUUUAAAAAAUCAAUCUUUGCAAAAAAGAAAUAGAAAAUAUUGUUCAUUGUAAAAUUACAAAAAAUAAGUAUGAGGACUCAAUAAUUACAAUGACCAUGAGUCAGAGAUCUACAAGAAGCUCAAUUGGCAUGCAGCUGGUUGUGCCGGUGAGCACAUGAGCCUUGUCAUUGGCAGUACCGACUGAGAUGAGAGGGCGGGCGGUGCGAUCGCUCCGAGUACAAUCCUAUAUUUUAAUAAUUAAUGGUAUCAUUUUCAAAAAUAAUUUUUCAAAUAAUAAUUCAUUUAACAAAGUAAAAAUAAGAUUUAAAAGUGUCCUAAUUCUUUUAUAUGUAUUGCUUUUUGUUUUUAAUAACAAACUUUUUACAAAAAAAAAAAAUCAUAGAAAUUUGUUUUUGUCCUAGGGUCCAUAACAAUUCCUAUCAGUGUAGAAAUUAUCUAUUUUAAUGAAAGUUGCAAUUAGUCUUAGCAUAUUAUACCCAUGGUUUGUUAGAUUUAGCUUUGGGAUUGGGACAAAUCGACUCAAACUUGAUCAUCUUUUAUGUGCUUGUAAGUCAAAUUAUUCAAAUUUUCUUGCAUUAAUCUCAGUUUAUAUGUUCUUAUGAAAUUUGCAGCUAAGCCUAGCAUUUUAUAGACAAGGUUUUGACGGUUUUGUUUAGGUUUUCUUAGCUAUAACAUGGUAAUUAAAAACUCAGAUGAAAAUAGUUUUUUUUUCUUGAGGUUUGUUCUUCUUACUUCUGUUUGGAUUCUUUAACCAUGGAAUUAAUAUUCUUAAAAGCCAAUUUACGCAUAUUAUUAUUUUUGUAAAAAUUAUAUUCAACCAAAAAACAUAUUUUACUUAUACUACAUCCUUGUUUUGAUGUUUAAUAGAACAGAAUACUUAACGAAACAGAACAAAACAGAGUCGAUCAUCUCGUUGCGAACCAGAGCCGUAAACCAUCAUUUGGUUUAGUCGAGUGCAUGUCAUUGAAACGAGAAAAGGCAACUUCGGACAAUACGAUCAAUGCUCUUGGUUAGGGAGUUUGUCUGAGACGGAAAUUUGCCGUGUUUCGGUCAAAAAAAUCAGUCGUCUAAAACGUUUAGUUGACGUCUAGACAAUGUUCGAUUUACUAAAAGCUAACUACAAUUACUGUUUUUUUUUUUCGCCUGACUAUAAAUUUUACUUAUCAUUGUCUUGACCAACCAAAUCAUUGUUUUAAGAAAGUCCAAGCAUGCAGAGAUGUAUCGUGAUGGCAGGGCACGAAGCUACGUUUUACAUACGAAGGAACCAAUGAGUUGUGGUGGGACAUAUAUUUUGAUACGAAGAAAUUGAAAAACAUUCGGGCAAGAGACCCAAAAAGCGCGUACGUUACCAAACCGUCCCUACCGUUUCACCGACCGAUGGCCACAAUAUGAUCACGUGACCCAUCACGCGUCGGAGUUGGGUAAAUCCACCGAAAAGACUUUUUAGUAUCCAUCAACCACUAUGCCUUUUCUUUAAUACAAGUUGUUGCAAUUUCUAGGUUCUUUUGGCCAGGCUUUGUGCCUACAACUUUUCAGGUUCUAAAACUAAUAAAAAUAUAACGUAUACAUAUUUUGAAAAAAUUGACAUUAUAAAAAAAAAGUUGUAAAUUCUAGGAGACAGUUAAUGUCAGUUUCUUUAUAUGUGAAAUGGACCUUUAAACUCAAGAAAGUAGCACUAAAUUCCUUAUUUUACAUACUAUAUACCAAAUGAAAAUUUAAGAACUUGGCCCUUGAAAUUGGUAUUAAGGAUUUAAGACAAAUCUAUGUUUUGUUAUUUUAUUUUUAUGUCCCUGUAAUGUUUUUUUGGUUUGGCUUCUUGCGAUCCAGUUAUCUGUCUAUCUAUAGUUUUGUUAAUUUAUUUAAUUACAUUGUUUUUGUUUCUAAUCUAACAAGUUGGAUUGGCUUUUUGUAUGAAACUUGGACAAAGUAAACUGUUAAGCCACAUUGUCUUAAGAAUAUUCCGUUAAAUAAUCUUCCAGGCGACAAGAUUUCAGUCAAUAAUUUUGACUGGAUUACGUCUAAAAUAAGACAUCAAAACCAUACAACAUUAAGGGAAAAAUGAGAAUAAUAUUAAUGAAUUAAUUGAAUUACACUAGAAUUUGUAACAAAAAAAAAAAAAAAAAGAAUUACACUAGAAUAUUAUUUUCUACUACCAAAGACCAAACAUUGGAACUUCUUCUUUUAAUUCUCAGACCAUAGUAGAGCAAUCCGACGUCGUAGGAUCAUACAAAGCAGGAAGCAAAAACUUCCUGCCGUUUGCACCAUACGCAUUAAAACUACCUCCCGUUGUAGUAUCCACAAGUAAAUCUCCAGCAUAACCAGGAUAAGCUCCUUUACCAUAAACGCCAGGACAAGCAGACGCAGCUUCAAGCGGUGCGUUUUGUGGACCUUGAUAAUAACCAUUACCAAACGGGUUCGUUGCGGUUCCAGCUAAAAGACUAGCUAAGUUAAUAACCAUACCAUCAAGUCCAACGUCAUUGUUUGGUGCCACAAGUGGUGGACUCUGUGGACCGUACACCGGCGCGUGGAAAGGCCACGCGCAUUGACCAGGACAUUGUGUCUCAGAGUUUCCGACCCAAAUGUAAGCAAACUUGGAGCCACGUUUACCUAAACCACGAGCGUGUCCAUGAGUCCCGCAACGACUCAUACCAAAUCCUGUAACUGUAACGUCAGCUGAAGUCAAAACGACGUUGAUGGCGUCGCGUUGGUCACCUUUUGAAGCUAGUUGGCGAAUCUUUUUAUCGGUUAAAGAUUUUCUAAGAGAGCAAGACUCGUCGAGGAUUUGUUUCCCGAGGGUUAGAGAAAGAGGUGAUGAGUUUUUAUUGGGUGCUGCGAGUUUGUAGUAUUUUUCAGUGGUUUUCCACCACGUGGCGACAGAUGGUUGGUGGAGAGUUUUGGACGUAGGAGAAGUGUGUGUGAGUGAGGUUAUGAAGUCGGAGAUGAUUGCUCUUUGAGAUGGUUUGAAUUUGCCGUACCAGAUUAGGUUAACGGAGAUUUUGCCGGAAAGGAGAGCUCCUUUGUGGUACUUUAGUAGUUUAAACUGGUUUGGUUCUUCAGUUGCUAGGUUCCUAGCAGAGACAGAGAUUUGGAGAAGAGAUAAAAAUAGAAAGAGUUUAAACACUAACGAAUACAUUUUUCUUUUUUGAGGAAAAGUGAAAGAGAAGAUUGUGUAAUAGUGAAGGAAGUUUGGUUUUGAUGUUUAGAUUGGUUUGUGAGAGAUAUGGAGUGUGAUGGGGCUAUAUAUAUGCCUCUCUGAGUGGAUAUUAUUAUUAUUAAAAAUUGAAAUUAGAUUUUGAAUAUGUAUUAAAUAAUAAAGGUGGAAAAAAGAGAGAGGUAUGUUAUGCUUUAAAGUGAAAGAGAAAGGGAAGUUGCAGAGAAAUAGGAAAAAGAGUAAUGGACCAUUGUACUGUUGCCAGCUAACGAAUGAUUCAUAGUCCUACGCAACUUUUGGUUUAUGUUAAAAUUUGAAUUUGAAUUAUGUUAUGUUUAUAUUGUGUGAUGUCAUUAUAAAUUACUCAGUUUCUACUCACACAACUUUUUUUUAUUACUAAUAACUUUGGUAUAUGUUAAAAUUAUAAUUUUUGUUUGUUUCAUUGUUAUGGUUAUAUUGUGAAAUAAAUUAAUCAGUUCCUUUAAUGAAUUCAUUACAAGUUUUCAUAAAAAUAUGAAUUAUUUUUUUUUUGUCAACAUAAAAAUAUGUAUAAUGCUAAGUAUAACUUCAUAUAAAUUUUAUGAGUAUAUUUUGGAUUCUGAUAAGACUAGAAUGAGACAUAGGAUUCUUGUGGUAGAAGCUGUACAUGUUGUGGAUUGUUUAUUUAAUAGUACAAAUUAGAAAUUGAAUCAAGUUGGACCAAUAAAAAACUGUUGUUAGUGGUAAAUAAACUAAAUAUUAAAGGAAUAAUUAGUAUUUCUAUAUGUAGUAUACACUGUAAGAAUUUAAUAAAAAGUUUUAACUGUGUCAGAUUAAGCAAUAGUUUUUUUUUUUUUUUUUUUUGUUGGCCAAUCUAUUAAGAUAAAAGCCCAAUGGGCAGUACAAGGAGGUGAAAUACAGAAGCCCAUUUCCAACAUUUGCGACCUUAAUUAAAAUAAAAGCUGCCUAAUCUUAAACUAAUUAGUGAAAGAUUAGGAUGAGAAGGUCCCACGUGCAACACCAUGUGUUAGCACGCGAGAAGGAAAAAAGAAACAGUCGGUGCCGGCAAAUUCCACGAGUUGACACAACACCGCCGCCGGCUUCGAGCAUCCACCACCGCCAUCCUUCUACAGAUUUCGCUUUUGCCUAUCAGAUUGAAGACCACCGGUUCUGUCUGAUAGAAGCUUAAGAAGACUUCAAAGAUCUUCACAUCUUAACCCGAUCCCUUGAAUUGGAAGCUACGCCUAUGACCUAAAGAGGCCGCCGACUACAACAGAGUCAGAUGAAACGACGAAGAUAUUACUCCGAUUGAAGAGAGGAGUCAAGUUAACGGUGAGACGGGGAGAUCAAUGGAUCGCAAGAGGAUAUUGAUUGAAUCCUUGUAGAAAGAGGAAGCAAAACACAAUCCAAACUUAGAGAACUAAGAUGGAUGUUAGUAGAUCCGAUUAAAACCGGAGAAAGGUCCGACAAAACGGAAAGACGAAAUCCGACUAUAAUCGGAAAACUGAAUAUAUUACAGACAAAAGCCACAAACGGCUGAAGAGAAUUCCGGUAAACCGGAAAUUACCCUCUCUCUAAAAGAUAGAAGUGCGUUAAGAGAGAGAGGAAUUUUUUUUAAGCAAUAGUUACAUACAGCCAAUAAAAAUUGAUUAAUAAGAGGAAUCAAAAUUGACUAUAUCGAUAAAAUGUGUGGAGGAAUAUACAGCUUAACAGCAAUAACUUGAAAUGACGAAAAUACCCUUGUGCAAGCUGUGUUCUUUUUUUUGGUAAAGCGCGUGGGCAGUUAAAGAAAAAAUGUGAAACUUCUGAGAGACGUUGGGAGGACUUUAAUCUUUAGGACAGGCUGGAUAAUGUUUUUAAGACAAAAGACUUUGGAGAAGUAGAGAUAUGGGGAAGCGUGUACAGCUGGCAGUUAG
rnacentral:lncRNA from 1 species